rnacentral:lncRNA from 1 species
UUUUUUUUGAUUCCUCUUCUAUUUAGAUAUGAUAUAGACCUAAUUCUUAUACAAAGAAAACUCUUUCGCUUCACUUUGUCUCGCUUUCUCUAAAAUCUUUAGAAAAAAGAAUUACUCCACCCUUUAUUUAAUGAUAGUCAUAGACUAUUAAAUAAAAAAUAAACUACUUACUACUAAUUAGAUUAGAACCUAAUUAAAAUGGGAUAACUAAUGUAUGCAUCCUAAUGAGGAGUAAUACUAAAAAAAAAGAACUCUAUUUCAGAAUUAUGAAACAGAAUAUCUAGUUUUAUUAUUUACUCUUUCUUUUUUUUUCUUUCGAUUUUUUCUAUUUUAUUUAAAGUGGAUCGAUUUAGAUAAUGUAUAUAUAGUAAUAUACUUCAAACAAAAUAGGAAUUCGCAAAAUGGAGAAAAUCGUUGCAGUCAUUAUAGAAAAGUAUAGGACUUAGAGCAUAUCCUAUUUGAAGGAGGAUGGAAUUCAAAUCAGUUAAGGGACCCUUCCUCCCUUCUAUUGAUUUGAUCAAAAUUCUUUUUUCUUUUCCUGUCUCUAUGAUUUUCCAUGAAUGGAGCCUAUGGUAAUGCUUUUAUCUCUAUUCUAUGGCGCAAUCGACCGUCGAGUCUAUAAACAAGUACUAAAUAAGGAAAUAUGGAAAAAACUAUACUAAAGGAAACACAAGAUAUCCAUCCUAAAAUGAAAAAAAAAGACGUAUAUAUUAGGGCUAUACGGAUUCGAACCGUAGACCUUCUCGGUAAAACAGAUCAAACGGAUUAUUAUCGAAAUGAUUCGAACUGUUUCAAAGACCCAACAUGCAUUUUUUUUUCUGCAUUGGGCUCUUUCAUCAACUGAUGUAAAGAUCGGUUAAUCCGCCAUAGUUUUUCUUUAGGGAAAAAUAAUAAGAUGGCUCCCUGUGCUCUGAUUGAUUAUUUUUCUUAAUAUCUAUCUAGGAGCAAUACCAAAGUGUUUCAAAGGAGGAUUACCUUGACUUAGGUCUGCCUCCGGCCUAAAUUAAAUCAACCUAAGUGAAAUGGAGUCUCUAUCGUUCCGCUGCAAGAGUUUACUAUGAGACUUCAUACACCUUAAAGUUCAUAGAACGAAAAGAAGUUUUUUGGAGGCCCUUAUCCUCAUUACGCCUAGCAUUGAGUGGGCUGGAUAUUUACCUUAUCAACUAGCAAAUCAAUAGGGGUUCCAUUUGAUUAAGCACCUGAAUUGGCACCUGAAUCGGACUGAACCGACUGUUUGUCAGGCUAUUGUUCUCCUAUUCUUUCGAAUCCAUGAAGUAAGACAUUGAUUUUGCAAUAAGUUCAAUUAUGUUCAUUGCAUAAUAAGUUCCCUUGAAAAGCAUUGGCGCACGUGUAAGCGAGUUGCUCUACCGAACUGAGCUAUAGCCCUUGUCAGAGAUAUCUUAACAUAUAGAUAAUUUCUUGUCAAGAUGAAUAUUCUCUAAUGCCAGAGGAUAUUCCUUUGAUUUACUAUAUAAUAUAAACAUACCAAUAACAUAACAUAAACAUACCAAUAAUGGAGGGGUAUUGCUUAUAAAAAGGAUUCGAUCUAUAAUCGAUCGAAGUAAUGGGGCUUCUUUUGUGGUGAUAAAUUGCCUACUUAACUCAGUGGUUAGAGUAUUGCUUUCAUACGGCGGGAGUCAUUGGUUCAAAUCCAAUAGUAGGUAGGUAGGUAGAAAAAUUACUAGAUAGCAUUGGGCUUACUUCGCUUCGCUAUCUAAUAACUUUUUCUACCCUUCUUUCCUUUUUCUUUGUAUCAACGAAACCUUUGGAUUGUCUUCAAUUGGAUGGGGGAAUCCAAUUGACAGCCUCGACUCGUAUCCUAGCUCGUCUGAGAGCUAGCUUCGCUUCAACCAAUUCUUUCGUACCCUCAGCUCUACUCAAGUUAGCUUCGGCUAUUUCAAGUGCCUGUUGAGCUUCUUCUGGAUCAAUGUCACUACCGAGUUCUGCAUCAUUUCCUAAAAUGAUGAUCUCAUUAUUAACUAUUCUCGCAAAACCACUCCACAGAACCGCCGUUAACCAUUGGUCGUCGAGGAGGCGUAUUCUCAAAGGACCCAUAUCUACAGCUGUGUUAAUGGGGGCGUGGUUUGGUAAUACACCAAUUUGGCCACUAUUAGUAGAUAAAAUGAUUUCUUUCACUUCACAAUCCCAAAUAAUUCGUUUAGGAGUCAGUACAUAAAGAUUUAAUUUCAUUUCGUCAAUUUGCUCUCCUCUUCUAAGUUUAUAGCUUUCGUGCUAGCUUCAUCGAUGUUCCCCACCAAAUAAAAAGCCUGUUCGGGUAGGCCGUCUAAUUCUCCGGAAAGGAUUAGUUGAAAUCCCCUAAUUGUUUCUGCAAGACCAACAUACUUUCCUGGGGAACCGGUAAAAACUUCUGCCACAAAGAAUGGUUGUGAUAAGAACCGCUCGAUUUUUCGCGCUCUUGCUACAGUUAAACGAUCCUCCUCCGAUAAUUCGUCCAACCCAAGAAUUGCGAUAAUGUCCUGAAGUUCUUUGUAACGUUGUAAAGUUUCCUUAACUCUUUGCGCAGUUUCAUAAUGUUCGUUGCCAACGAUCCGAGGCUGUAACAUCGUUGAGGUUGAAUCUAAAGGAUCUACUGCGGGAUAAAUACCCUUGGAAGCCAAUCCUCUGGAAAGUACGGUAGUAGCGUCCAAAUGUGCAAAUGUUGUGGCAGGAGCAGGGUCGGUCAAAUCGUCUGCAGGUACAUAAACAGCUUGGAUCGAAGUUAUAGAUCCCUUUUUGGUAGAAGUAAUUCUUUCUUGCAAAGAACCCAUUUCUGUACUAAGGGUAGGUUGAUAACCCACUGCGGAGGGCAUUCUCCCUAAUAAGGCGGAUACUUCCGAUCCUGCUUGAACAAAACGAAAGAUAUUAUCGAUGAAUAAAAGCACGUCUUGCUUAUUAACAUCUCGGAAAUAUUCUGCCAUAGUUAGGGCAGUUAAACCAACUCUCAUACGAGCUCCCGGUGGUUCAUUCAUUUGGCCAUAGACUAGAGCUACUUUUGAUUCCUCAAUAUUUUUUUCAUUAAUUACUCCAGAUUCCUUCAUUUCCAUAUAAAGAUCAUUUCCUUCACGAGUCCGUUCCCCUACUCCACCAAAUACGGAUACGCCUCCAUGAGCUUUAGCAAUGUUAUUGAUUAAUUCCAUGAUGAGUACUGUUUUACCUACUCCUGCCCCCCCCAAAUAGUCCGAUUUUUCCUCCACGUCGAUAAGGAGCUAAAAGAUCGACCACCUUAAUACCUGUUUCAAAGAUAGAUAAUUUCGUAUCUAACUCGAUAAAGGCAGGCGCAGAUCUAUGAAUAGGGAAUGUUGCACUAGUAUCUACAGGACCCAAAUUGUCAAUAGGCUCCCCCAGAACGUUAAAAAUUCGUCCGAGAGUAGUUCCACCGACUGGAACACUGAGAGGAGCUCCCGUGUCAAUCACUUCCAUUCCUCUCAUCAACCCGUCUGUAGCACUCAUAGCUACAGCUCUAACUCGAUUAUUUCCUAAUAAUUGUUGUACCUCACAAGUCACAUUAAUUUGCUUAUCGCAGUGUCUCGACUCUUGACUAUCAAAGCGUUAUAAAUAUAAGGCAACUUGCCCGGGGGAAAAGUGAUAUCCAGCACGGGUCCAAUAAUUUGAUCAAUACGCCCUGUGCUUUUUUCUUCAAUUGUGGAAACCCCGGCACGCGAAGUAGUAGGAUUGGUUCUCAUAAUUAUCACAUAAUUUUCAAAAAAAAGGAAUUUGUCGAAAUUUUUCUUUUUUUCUUGUUGAAUAAUGCCAAAUCAAAUCAAAAAAAAUAUCCAAAAAUCCAAAACUAAAAAGGAAAUGAAUUAGUUAAUUCAAUAAAAAAGAAAAGGGGACUAGCACUUGAUUUCGUUGCCCAAGCGAAUCCCAUUCAAUCGUUUACUUAUGGAAUGAGUCCGUUGGAAAGUUCAAUCAAUCUUUUUUUUCAUAUAAAUUUUGCCUUUUGUGAAGGAUCUGUGCCUACUCUACCUUCCUAUCUAGGACUUCGAUAUACAAAAUAUAUACUACUGUGAAGCAUAGAUUGCUGUCAACAGAGAAUUUUCUUAGUAUUUAGGUAUUUAGAUUCAAAAUAUCAAAGGGGCCUAUUAAGAACUUUCAAAAUUUUUAAAUAAGGAUUAGGGAUUGGUUUGGGUUGCGCUAUAUCUAUCAAAGAGUAUACAAUAAUGAUGGAUUUAGUGAAUCAAAUCCAUGGUUUAAUAACGAACCGUGUUAACUUACCAUAACAACAACUCAAUUCCUAUCGAAUUCUUUUCCUAUCGAAUUCCUCUUUUCCUAUCGAAUUCCUCUUUUCCUAUCGAAUUCCUAUAGUAGAAUUUCUAUAGGAUAGAACGUACACACGGUGUACGCAUUAUAUAUGAAUGAAACAUAUUCAUUAACUUAAGCAUACUCCUUUUUUUUUAGAUUUUUGCAAAGGUUUCAUUUACGCCUAAUCCAUAUCGAGUAGACCCUGUCGUUGUGAGAAUUCUUAAUUCAUGAGUUGUAGGGAGGGACUUAUGUCACCACAAACAGAAACUAAAGCAAGUGUUGGAUUUAAAGCUGGUGUUAAGGAUUAUAAAUUGACUUACUACACCCCGGAGUACGAAACCAAGGAUACUGAUAUCUUGGCAGCAUUCCGAGUAACUCCUCAGCCCGGGGUUCCGCCUGAAGAAGCAGGGGCUGCAGUAGCUGCGGAAUCUUCUACUGGUACAUGGACAACUGUUUGGACUGAUGGACUUACCAGUCUUGAUCGUUACAAAGGACGAUGCUAUCACAUCGAGCCCGUUCCUGGAGCAGAUCAAUAUAUCUGUUAUGUAGCUUAUCCAUUAGACCUAUUUGAAGAGGGUUCUGUUACUAACAUGUUUACUUCCAUUGUGGGUAACGUAUUUGGUUUCAAAGCCCUACGCGCUCUACGUUUGGAGGAUCUACGAAUUCCCAUUGCUUAUGCAAAAACUUUCCAAGGUCCGCCUCACGGUAUCCAAGUUGAAAGGGAUAAGUUGAACAAGUAUGGUCGUCCUUUAUUGGGAUGUACUAUUAAACCAAAAUUGGGAUUAUCCGCAAAAAAUUACGGUAGAGCGUGUUAUGAGUGUCUACGCGGUGGACUUGAUUUUACCAAAGAUGAUGAAAACGUAAACUCACAACCAUUUAUGCGCUGGAGAGACCGUUUUGUCUUUUGUGCUGAAGCAAUUUAUAAAGCACAAGCCGAAACCGGUGAAAUCAAGGGGCAUUACUUGAAUGCGACUGCAGGUACAUGCGAAGAAAUGAUUAAGAGAGCUGUAUUUGCAAGGGAAUUAGGGGUUCCUAUUGUAAUGCAUGACUACAUAACUGGAGGAUUCACCCAAAUACUAGUUUGGCUCAUUAUUGCCGCGACAACGGCCUACUUCUUCACAUUCACCGAGCAAUGCAUGCAGUUAUUGAUAGACAGAAAAAUCAUGGUAUGCAUUUCCGUGUAUUAGCUAAAGCAUUGCGUAUGUUGGGGGGAGAUCAUAUCCACGCCGGUACAGUAGUAGGUAAGUUAGAAGGGGAACCGAAAUAACUUUAGGUUUUGUUGAUUUAUUGCGCGAUGAUUUCAUUGAAAAAGAUCGUUCUCGCGGUAUCUUUUUCACUCAGGACUGGCAUCCAUGCCAGGUGUUAUACCGGUGGCUUCAGGGGGUAUUCAUGUUUGGCAUAUGCCAGCUCUGACCGAAAUCUUUGGAGACGAUUCCGUAUUACAAUUUGGUGGAGGAACCUUAGGACAUCCUUGGGGAAAUGCACCUGGUGCAGCAGCUAAUCGUGUGGCUUUAGAAGCCUGUGUACAAGCUCGUAACGAAGGGCGCGAUCUUGCUCAUGAAGGUAAUGAAAUUAUCAAAGCAGCUUGCAAAUGGAGUCCUGAACUAGCCGCAGCUUGUGAAGUAUGGAAGGCGAUCAAAUUUGAUUUCGCGCCGGUGGAUACCAUAGAUUAAGUAGAUAAAACUAGAUAUAAAGAAGGUCUAAAUAAAAUAAAAAAGAAGCAAAAUAGAAAAAGAAAAAAUCAGUUACGAAAUGCAGUAAUUCUUCUUUAUUCUUCUAAUUGAUUGCAAUUAAAUUCGGCUCAAUCUUUUUUUUUAGAAAAGAUUGAGCCGAAUUUAAAUAGAUCUUGAUACGAUCAUGAGACUUGACAAAUCGAGAUCCUUCUAUUCUAUAUAUCUAGAAUAUAGAAAGGUAUAAUACAAUAAACAAAUAGAAAUCAAAAUAUAGUAUUAUCAUACGAUAAUGGAAUCAAAUACGCAGUAUUUACAGAAAAGAGUCUUCGUUUAUUGGGAAAGAAUCAAUAUACUUUUAAUGUUGAAUCAGGAUUCACUAAGACAGAAAUAAAGCAUUGGGUCGAACUCUUCUUUGGUGUUAAGGUAGUAGCUGUGAAUAGCCAUCGACUACCCGGAAAGGGUAGAAGAAUGGGACCUAUUCUGGGACAUACAAUGCAUUACAGAUGUAUGAUCAUUACCCUUCAACUGGGUAUUCUAUUCCACUUCUACUUUUUAAAUUAAAGUAAAAUUAAAGGGUAUUCUGAAAGAGGUAUUUCUUUUAUUUUCACCAUAGUUUUCUUUUGAAUCCAAUUUCAAGUUCGAUUAGAAGGAUAGAAAGGCGAUGAGAAUGGGAAAAGAAAAAUCCAAUAUUUUUAAUUAGUUCCCCUUUUUUGCAAUUUUCUUAUUAUCUAUUCCAUUCAUUUUUUUUAUAUCUAUAAAAAGUAUUCUAAAAAAAUAGUAUUCUAUACAAAAUCUUUAUUUUGUAAACUAAAAAAUACAAUAGUCAAUAUUCCUUAUAAUAGAUAUACUUAAUUAUAUCAUAAGAAUCUUAAGAUAUAUUUCGAAUAGAUAGAAAUAGUAAAUUUUAAUUGAGACACAUAUUCUAUGACAGAUUUUAACUUACCCUCUAUUUUCGUGCCUUUAGUAGGCUUAGUAUUUCCGGCAAUUGCAAUGGCUUCCUUAUUUCUUUAUGUGCAGAAAAAUAAGAUUGUCUAGAAACGGGGGGCCAAAUUUUCUUAAUGUAUUUCCAGGAUCAUAAUACAGAUAUUUUUUUGUGUAAGUAAUAUAAUAUGAUAGGGUAUGUAGCUCUUUCUACACACAAAUGAAAAACGUCUAUGGAUGCAGAUAUAGGCUACGAGCAUAAAUGCAUGCAUAUGCGUAGCCAAGUAUAGCGAGUUUUUUUUAAGUGGAUCCACAAAUUGAAUUCUUUUUGAAUAGAAAGUCAAUGUAUCUAACCAAUUAUUUCACAGGAGUACUAGCUACUGAAGGCUAUUUCAGAAUAAAAAAAAGUAAAAAUCAUUUAGCUUAUUCUCUCAAUUUCAAUUGACCGCUACUGGAUUUAGUAUAUCUAAUAUGAAUUGGCGAUCAGAACACAUAUGGAUAGAACUUCUAAAAGGUUCUCGAAAAAGAGGUAAUUUUUUCUGGUCCUGUAUUCUUUUUCUAGGUUCAUUAGGAUUCUUAGCGGUUGGGGCUUCCAGUUAUCUUGGUAAGAAUAUGAUAUCCGUACUUCCAUCUCAACAAAUUCUUUUUUAUCCACAGGGGGUCGUGAUGUCUUUCUACGGAAUCGCGGGCCUAUUCAUUAGCUCCUAUUUGUGGUGCACUAUUUUAUGGAAUGUAGGCAGUGGUUAUGACCGAUUCGAUAGAAAAGAGGGAAUAGUGUGCAUUUUUCGUUGGGGAUUCCCUGGAAUAAAACGUCGCAUCUUCCUUCGAUUCCUUGUGCGGGAUAUCCAAUCAAUUCGAAUUCAGGUUAAAGAGGGUCUUUAUCCUCGUCGUAUCCUUUAUAUGGAAAUCCGGGGCCAGGGGGUCAUUCCCUUGACUCGUACUGAUGAUAAGUUUUUUACUCCACGAGAAAUGGAACAAAAAGCUGCCGAAUUGGCCUAUUUCUUGCGCGUGCCAAUUGAAGUAUUUUGAAUACCAAUUGCAUUGCAAUUGUAAGGGGAUUUUCGAGUAUUUAUCUAAAGGAAGGCACAAACGAGGAUAAGAGAAAAUUGCUUCUAAUUUUUUUUGUCCAAGUAAGAUAUAUGGCAUAAUAUUCUUCCAUUUUUAUAUGAAAGGCCUUUUUUUUAUUUCUCUAUUCCACUCCAUUUAGAUCUAAGAAAGAACCCAAUACAAUGAAAUUCCACUAGUAUACAAAAAGAGAAAUGGAUACAAACACAAGGUCUCUUGUUAUAGAAUUUUUGUUUCAAAGAAAAUAAAUAUCAUAUAUAUUCAGCGAAUGAAAUAGAGUCGGCAAAUGAAGCGGAUUCAUUAACAACUCAAUUUACAGAUCAAAAAUGAAAAAAAAGAAAGCAUUGCCUUCUUUCCUAUAUCUUGUAUUUAUCGUACUUUUGCCCUGGGGAGUCUCUUUCUCUUUUAACAAAUGUCUGGAACUUUGGAUUAAGAAUUGGUGGAAUACCAGGCAAUCCGAAACUUUCUUAACUGAUAUUCAAAAGAAAAGGAUUCAUAGAAUUAGAAGAACUUUUUCUCUUGGAUGAAAUGAUAAAAGAGAAACCAAGACACAUGUACAAAAACCUCCUAUAGGAAUACACAAGGAAAUAACACAAUUGGCCAAAAUAGAUAAUGAGGAUCAUCUCCAUAGCAUUUUACAUUUCUCAACAAAUAUAAUCUGUUUGGCUAUUCUAAGUGGUUCUUUUUUUCUGGGUAAAGAAGAACUUGUCAUUUUGAAUUCUUGGGUUUAGGAAUUUUUCUAUAACUUAAAUGACUCAAUAAAAGCUUUUUUUAUUCUUUUAGUUACUGAUUUUUUUGUUGGAUUUCACUCCACCCGCGGUUGGGAACUACUAAUUCGUUGGGUCUACAACAAUUUUGGAUGGGCUCCUAACGAGCUAAUUUUCACUAUUUUUGUUUGUAGUUUUCCUGUUAUUCUAGACACGUGUUUGAAAUUUUGGGUCUUUUUUUGUUUACACCGUCUAUCUCCUUCACUUGUAGUCAUUUAUCAUUCAAUUAGUGAAGCAUAAACUCACUCAUUUGAUUUCUAAUAUUUUUCCUAAUAUUAAUCAAAUUAGCAUAUUUCUUACUUUAGAAAGAAAGCCUUUUCCUUUUUAGCAAAAUUCUUUCUAUUUCUACCUGCUCAAGGUAUUCAUCAUUCCAGUACAACUGUUGCAGUAGAAUGACAACAGACUCGUGUAUAGGGAACUAGAUUAGCUUAGCUACCUAUCUAAUUUAUUGUAGAAAUUCCGGGAUCCGCGAUUGGACAUGGAAAAUAGAAAUACUUUUUCUUGGUUAAAAGAACAGAUGAUUCGAUCGAUUUCUGUAUUGAUCAUGAUAUACGUAAUAACUCGCACAUCUAUUUCAAAUGCAUAUCCCAUUUUUGCGCAGCAGGGUUAUGAAAACCCACGGGAAGCAACUGGACGAAUUGUAUGUGCCAAUUGCCAUUUAGCUAAUAAGCCUGUGGAUAUUGAGGUCCCCCAAGCAGUGCUUCCUGAUACUGUAUUUGAAGCAGUUCUUCGAAUCCCUUAUGAUAUGCAGCUGAAACAAGUUCUUGCUAAUGGUAAAAAGGGAGGGUUGAAUGUGGGUGCUGUUCUUAUUUUGCCCGAGGGAUUCGAAUUAGCGCCGCCCGAUCGUAUUUCUCCUGAGUUGAAAGAAAAGAUAGGAAAUCUCUCUUUUCAGAGUUAUCGUCCCAAUAAAAAAAUAUUCUUGUGAUAGGCCCUGUUCCCGGUAAGAAAUAUAGGAAAUUGUCUUUCCCAUUCUUUCCCCCGAUCCCGCUACGAAAAAAGAUGUUCAUUUCUUAAAAUACCCCAUAUAUGUAGGGGGAAACCGAGGAAGGGGACAGAUCUAUCCUGAUGGUAGCAAGAGUAACAAUACGGUCUAUAAUGCUACAUCAACAGGUAUAGUAAAAAUAUACUAUGUAAAGAAAAGGGGGGAUAUGAAAUAUCCAUAGUCGAUGCGUCGGAUGGACGCCAAGUGAUUGAUAUUAUACCUCCCGGGCCAGAACUUCUAGUUUCAGAGGGGGAAUCGAUCAAGCUGGAUCAACCAUUAACAAGCAAUCCUAAUGUCGGAGGGUUUGGUCAGGGGGAUGCAGAAAUAGUGCUUCAGGAUCCAUUGCGCGUCCAAGGCCUUUUGUUCUUCUUCGCAUCUGUUAUUUUGGCACAAGUUUUUUUGGUUCUCAAAAAGAAACAGUUUGAAAAGGUUCAAUUGUACGAAAUGAAUUUCUAGAUCCUGGGAUUUCUUACCAUCAAGUUAGAAAAAAGCCUCAAUUUCUGGAAUUCCUUAUUUCUAUCUCAUGCAAAAGAAGAGGAUCCAAGGCAGAGGCGAGAACAAUAAAAGGAACAAGUCCUUUUUGUUUUAGGAGGAAUUGCGGGUCUUCUUAAUCCUCUAUUGGGCACAAGAAAAAGGCAAAAAAGCCUUUUUCUUGUGUCGAUUCUUCUUUUCUUGUAUCGAAGUAAGAAUCAUUUUUCUUCUUAUUUGUUUUGUCAAAGAUUACUAUUUAUUCUUUAUUCGGGUCUAUCUUUUGGACUUCCUUUGCUUAGGUUCGGGCGCGGUAGUGGACAAACAGAGGGAAAGAAAGUAUGGCGGGGGACAAAUUUCUUGUGAGCAAAUAGAAUUGCUUGACUUUUUCAAUUAAGUUCAACUUCGAACUUACAGAAAUUUUGUAAAAAAAAUGUAUACCCUCCCAUUUAAGGGUGGUUUUUAUUUUUAGGCUAGUUGAGUAGUUAUGAUUAAGGUUUUAUUAGUUUAUUACUCUAAACUAAAUCAAUGAUUUGCAGGAUAGUUCCUUCAUGGAAUAAAAUACUGGAUCCUCUUUCUUGUUGCUUCAUAAGAGUGAAUCCAUUUUAUGGGCGAAAGGCGGGGGCUUUAAAUCGACCGAUGGAUUGCUUCACUAACAUCAUUAACAAACAAAAGAAUAAAUAAGGGGAUUCGAACCAUCAGAGCAAAGGUUUUCUCUUUGUUAUUUUUACAAAUAGAAAUAGGUAACCAAUUUCCAAAUUAUGGAAUAAAAUCGCGCUAUAACAAUAAGAAUUCUGCGGGCCCUUUCCGCUCUAAUCAGAUAAAGGGGGGUACUUACCCGCUAAGUUCCUACUUUUUCAUGUUUACAAGCUGGAUCCUCCGAUUACUAAAGAGAUGAACCCAAUCCAGAAUACGAACCGUAAAAGAAAACACCUAUUAAACCAAUCACAAGAAUACCAGUUACAGUACCUAUCAGCCAAAGAGGAAUUCUUCCAGUAGUAUCGGCCAUUUCCCCUACUUUCCUCCACAUUUUCUCAAGUGGUCAUGCUAGAGACAAAAACAGUCAUGGAUAGUUAUAAGGAUGGUAUCCUUCCAAAUGGGAUAAGAGAAUUCUUACUACUCUCUUUCUUUCUCUCAAUUGAAGAAGUAAUUGGAAAAUAAAACAUCAAGUACAAAAAUGAGUAAUAAACCCCAGUAUAGACUGGUACGAUUUAAUUCAACAUUUUGUUCAUUCGGGUUUGAUUGUGUCAUAGUUCUAUAGUUGGAAUUUGGUUUAUCAUUGGAUGAACUGCAUUGCUGAUAUUGAUCCCAACAAAAAAACCGUGGGUACAGCUAAUCCGUGAACAGCCAGCCAUCGCACUGUAAAAAUAGGAUAGGUUCGAUCUAUGGUCAUUGGGGGCCUCCUAAAAGGAUCUACUAAAUUCAUCUAGUUGUUCUAAAGAAUCAAAACGGUCGGUUAUUAAUGGAAUUCCUUGGCGGCUUUCCGUGAAAUACUCGUUUGGUCGAGGACUUCCAAACACGUCAUAAGCUAAACCUGUACUGACAAAUAACCAACCCGCAAUGAAUAGGGAAGGUAUAUUAAUGCUAUGAAUAACCCAGUAUCGAAUACUGGUAAUAAUAUCAGCAAAAGAACGUUCUCCCGUGCUUCCAGACAUGCUGAGCUCCCCAAAUUUUUGUACAUUCAAAAAAGGAAUUGAUUCCGUAAAAGAUGGGAUCGACCAGUAAAUAGUAAAUUACUGAUAUUUCAUCCUUGUGAGAUUGUCAAUUUUGUACCAAAGGUGUAUUUUGAGUAUACCGAAUUAGUAUAGCUAUCCUUCCUAUGGCACAGCAAUCCAGUUUUGCUUGGUCCCGAAACAGAAUUCCUUUUUUCUCUUCUUUGUUCCUUGUCUAUAGGGAAAUUACAUGUUAUUCAAGGCAUCAAUAGAACCCCACAAGUUUUUGGGUCCUAUUUAUUUUCAUUGUCUUCGGAAUAGUAGAAUAAUUUAAUUUGGAAUAGCGGCUAAGAUCUUGGUAAAAACCUAAGUUAAUGAUCAAUAAGAUAAAGAAUUUAGGAAGGAUAUUCUCAUAUUGACGCAAUACAAGGAUAAGUAUAUGCAAAAUCUAUCCCUUUUUUUUAGUUAAAAGUUUUAUUCGAAUCCAACUUUUCCUUUUAAGGAAUUAAAUUGAUUAGCAUAAAAUAAUAUCUAAUAAAUAGAAAAUCGAAUAGUGGAUAAUCCGUUAUGAAAGAAACAGAAUACAUUCUUUGAAGAAUCAAGAUUCGUAAUCAAUCCUUGUCUUGUUUGUUGGAUUAGGUCUAACUUUCUUGACCAAACUGCAAGCAUGGAACUUUACGAAAAGAACUUAAAAGAAAAGGAUAAUUGAAGUAACUUCGAAUCAACUUUGGUUGGGCUUCAAAAAACGAAUAAAAAUAAAUAAAAAUAAAGUAAAUUCAAGGAAGAGUUCCCUUUUUCAGGGGCCCUUCGGGGGUCGUGGAAUGCUUUUCUUCUCCUCUUAUUCCAUAUGGAAUACAAUGAGUUAAAAUAAGAAGGAAUAGGGGAAUAUUUAACUGUUUGCUCCAAAAAGAGGAUGAAAUCCAUCCUAUUGAAAAAGAAAUAAUCCAAAAUAGAAAGAACUUUUUCAAAUUAAAUUCUUUAUUAAUCUUUUAUUCCAAAAUUCCCCCGAAAAUCCAAUUUCAUUUUUCAAUAUUUUCAAUGGGGUUAGAUGAUCUAGUUCUUAAUAUUAUUAUUUUACUUAACUGACAAAUUCCACAACAAAUCUCUUGAUUCGGCAUUAGGGACUCAUGUCCUGUCUGAUGAAUCGAUUUUCUUUUACACUUUUGUAUCUCACUCUAUCUUGUUUUUUAGUAUUAUCUAAAAUAACCGAUGAAUUAUGAAUUUUCCAUAACUUAGGUAAGUGCUUUACCAACAUAUGUAGUGUAGUAAAAAAAAUAAAUGGAAUUUAACCCCUUCAUGCUUACUAUAACUAGUUAUUUCAGUUUUCUACUGGCUGCUUUAACUAUAACCCCAGCUCUAUUUAUUGGCUUGAACAAGAUACGUCUUAUUUGAAAUGAAUUGAAUGAAUAAGUCAGAAAAGAAGAAUCCUUCUUUUGGAUUCCUGGCAUUCUAGACUCUUUUCCACACUAAUUACCAAUUCUUUUCUUGGUCAUUGAGAUUCGUGGAUAAUUUAGACUAUUAUUUAGAGAUAGAUCGUACAUCUUUUUUUAUCCCCUUGAACAAAUCGAAAUGAUUGAAGUUUUUCUAUUUGGAAUCGUCUUAGGCCUAAUUCCUAUUACUUUAGCGGGAUUAUUCGUGACUGCGUAUUUGCAAUACAGGCGUGGGGAUCAGUUGGAUCUUUGAUUGAGUAAUAUUUCUUUUUUGAUUGACCUCCUCUCUUCUCUGGUCUGGAGGAGGUCAAAUUGGAGUUGCAAUUCUACUUUGUUUUUUUUAAUUUAUUUUACUCGGUUUUGACAUAAGAUAUAUGGAAUCACGCUAUGUAGGAUUUGAACCUACGACAUCGGGUUUUGGAGACCCGCGUUCUACCAAACUGAACUAAGAGCGCUUUCAAAACAAAAAGAAAAUCCUUUUCUACUCUUAACGUGUCUCACGUCCGUAUAGUAUCCACAAAUUCAAGUUAUACCCACUUUAAUCGAUCUCCCUGCUACUGCCCAUAAAGAAGAGAGAAUUAAUAGGUAGGGAUGACAGGAUUUGAACCUGUGACAUUUUGUACCCAAAACAAACGCGCUACCAAGCUGCGCUACAUCCCUUUUCCAAAUUGUUGUACAAUGGCAUCGUACAUAAUUCCUUUUUUGUUUUCCACAUCGUAAUUUUCUUCUAUUUCUCUAUCUAUAUAGAACUUUCUUGUCAUUUCUUGUUUUUGGUCUCAUAUAAUCAAGGAAGGGUAUACGUCUAAAAUCCAGUCGAAUUUCACCUAGAAAAGAAGGAUUCCUAUUCCUUAGUAAUGUAUCGGAAGAAGGGGUCAUCUUUUUUAGGGAUAGGAAAAUCUCGUCUAUUAUGAUUCAUUCUAUAUAUAUAGAAUAUUGAUUUUGUUUUUUUAAUUAGGAAUUUCGCCUAAACAAAAGAAAUACAAAGGAUCUUGGGCAAGAGUAUCUGAUCAUAUAUGUAUUCCAAUACGGAAGGAGGAUUUUCAAUGCGGGAUAUAAAAACAUAUCUCUCUGUAGCACCCGUGCUAAGUACUCUAUGGUUUGGGGCUUUAGCAGGUUUAUUGAUAGAAAUCAAUCGUUUAUUCCCAGAUGCUUUGUCAUUCCCUUUUUUUCAUUCUAGUUAUUCCUAUGCGAGAGAUAGAAUUCUUCGUGACAUGACGAAAAUUUUCCCUUUUUGAAUUCUUUUUUAGUAUAUGAAGCAAAAAGAAAGAAAAAAUGGAUAAGGAUUGUAUUCUUUAAUUAUUUCUCUAUUUUUUAUUACUUAAUUUAUGAAUUUCCAAAAUUUUUUAUUCUAUUGGAUUCGUUGGAGAAUUCGAAGAAUUACAACAAAAUCUUUAGAAAUCACAUUUUUAGUUAGGAACUUCUAUGGAUUUUAUUCUUCUUCUUUGGAUCCAAAAUAGAAGAAUAAAAGAAUAGGUAUAAUAACCGAAUUAGAUUAGAUCUAAUCUCGUGAUCAGAAAUCUAAUUAACAAUGAUUUAGAUCUAAUCAAGCAUGAUUAACACAUAAAAGCCUUUCUGCAGGAACUAAUUGCGUCUAAAACAUGAGUCAAACUUAACUGUGCAAUAGGAUCUAAUCUGCACAGCACAUUUUGCAUCUUAAACCGACGAAAAUAGAGGCAUAAACAUGGCUCAAAAAUUGACCGUGCAUGACUAGGUUAAGAUGGCUCAUGAUACCGAUUGUUAGAAUUGCCAAUAUUAGUGGCAUGUUACCCAGGAUCUUAACAUAACCUAGUUCAUGACAAAUCAAUCUAAUGCGGAAUAAAUGGUAAUCAUUAUACCAGCAUUAGCAGUAGCAGCAGCCAUUUACGCCUGAUUCGUAGAGGAAGUAGGCAUUCUUGUCGGUGUAGGAGAUGCAGCAGCGAAUCGGCGUCCUCCGGGCGCCAACGGGAGUGCUUGGCCUUCCAAACCCCUCCGGUACCCUUAGCAAUCAGACUAGUGGUGGCUAGGGUUUUAGAUUGAGAUGAUGGGUGAUUAAGGUGCUAACCACGAUCUUAUAUUUAUAGGUACUGUGGGGCUGGGAGCCAGCCUCUGGAGCCUGCUGAUCACAGCCCAUUAGGAUUUUAUCAUUAGGUUUCCUUAAUUACGUUUUAGAUAGUUUAAACGCUUCCUUAAUAAUGAAGAUCAUAAAUAUUUUAACUGAAAUUUAUUUAUAACAGGUGCCUCUCCUGCCGUAUACUGCUCUAGGAAGCCUGGCCUAAGCAAAAGCAACUGGACACUGGCCAAUCCGCCAAUCCUCUCUUUUGCUACGCGCUUGUGUCAAGAAGAUAAGCAGUGAAGAAGGUAGGUAGUUGUUGACGCAUGUUAACACUUGUGCAUUCAAGAAAGUUUCCAAAUUUGUAGAAAAACAAUGAUAGAUCUUAAAAUUUCAAAUCUUGUCAUGUAGCUUUACUAUGUGCACUCUCCAAUCUGAAAUUACCAACCUGAACGUAUUUAAGCGAGAGACAGAACAAAUUAUAGAACAAAAUAAAUGCUGAAGGCACUUAUAUUGAACAUUGUUUUACCCAUUUCUUCCAGGUUAUGAAGAAGAGCUAUGUGAUGUCCCUGUGCUUGAUUCAAAGAAGCCUACCUAUUCUUCGAGUUGAAGCUCUGAAUGGUUCCAGUUCUGGAGAAGAGAGAGCUUCAGGUGAACCUAACUAGAGGUUCUGCACUUGCUCCUAAAUUCAAGCCUUAUGGAUCUAAUUCCAAAUACUCAUAAAUUCUCGUAUUAUAGACUUAUAGUUCUUAUUGGGUAAGAAUUGCAUCUUAUUCUGGCUCAACCUUCAUGUACGUUAAAAUGUUUCUUCGCUUACUGUUAAAAUGAUCAAAGGUUUAGUUCUCAGUUAUUUUCCUCCAAGUUACUAAUUUCCCGAUGCACUAAGUAAUAAUGUAACUCAAAUGCACAACGGCCAGAAUGUUUGGUGUUUCUCGGUAAUAAGUGGCAGACAGUUUAUACAUCAACCAAAUAAUCGAGAAGAGCGAUAACAAAUAUAUAUAUUGCUUCUGGAGCCUCGACAUCACUAUAAAUAUCUUGUGAAGAUAUAGGAUGGUUGCAAAGAAAUUGGACAUUACUUUGGUCAGGUCAUUGUACAGUUUGCUUGAACGUGAUUUUGCAUGAGAUUAGCGGAUUAGGUGAUCUUUUUGCGCCAUAUCUUUUUUCUUUCCGAAUGAUAUGUCGCGAGGCUCCAGUCAAUCAGUCAUUGCACGACAAAACUUAUAUACUAUUUCUCCAUCAAAUUCUGAUGAUGCUUUUGGACCUCAUACAAAAUUAUCACUGGCCAGCAUCAAAGAUGGCGUGGCAACGCCGCACACUGGUCGACGUUACCUGUUUGUUAAGAUUCAUUCACAAACAAAUGUGUAUACACUUGAACGAAGCUACAAAUUCGAACUUUUAUUUCUUUGUUGGAAAGAAGGGGACACGGCGAUAAAAAAGACUUUUAUCACCUAAAGACAUUCCGGAUAGUGCCGCUGUAAUAUGGGUCAAAUCAUCACGCAGUCUGCUAUCUAGCAUAUUUCUAGCAAGCUACUUCUAUGACUCGGAAUUAUUUUUUGGUGCGUCUAGCAUGCUAUUUCAUUUUAGCAAAUGUCUUCUCAGCCAGCUUCUCCUAUGAUCAAGUUUGUAUGGAAUAAUUUAUAGGCUGCAUCUAUGCGCUCUGCUGCCAACCCACAUGUACACCACUUAGCCAAGCUGCUGCACUGUAACACCCUAGUUUUUAUUUUAGGAACCCAAAUAAAAUAUAUUAGAUUAAUUAAUUUUCUCUUAAUUUUAGAGCAUUUAUCAUGAAUUUAAAAUAAUUACUUAGCCCUAAAAAGAAAUAUAAGUUUAUUAGGUUUUUUGCAUCCAUGCUGUUGCAUUGUUUUAUAGGUUGUGGUUCAGUUGAAUUUAUAUUUGGUUGAAUUUAGAUUCAAAUGAAUUUAUUUGAUCUUCUUUCCUCCUUUCUUUUCAGCCCGAGCAACAUCUAUCUGUCCCGCCACAUCGAAGGGCAGUGAUGUUAUCUGGCUGAUCCAUUCAAAGGUGCUCAUAUAUCCAUUCAAAGUUUCUGCUGGUCUAUUGUUUUUUGCAAUCUGUUUGUUCUUCAGUGAGCAAUCUGAACAAUUGAAGUUCAGGGGUUUAGCUGUUUCUUCAGUCCGGCUCACUUGGUUUAGCAACCCAACACUGCCCUUCCUGGUCGUGCUGCAUUUGCCUCACAAACUCUUGAGACCCAUUUGGUUUUGUUCCUAUAGACUCCAAAACCAGUCCUUUAGCUACCAUUGUUACAUAUCCUAUUAAUUUCACAAAAGGAAUACUGAUGUCCAGGUUAGCCAAUUCAUAGGCCUCGUGCCAACUGAUUUUAGUUUUUGGGUACUGGAGAGGCUCAGUUUGUUUUGCAAAUAAGAUAAUCAUUUAAUUUUACUAACAAAAAAAUAUGAUGAUGGUUAGUCCAUCUUACCCAUAUCCAUAUUGUUUCAGUCCAUAAGCCAAGUUAAUUUGAUUGUCUUAGGAAUGCUGUAUCAUAUUGUUACCCUGUUGCUGUCCCUCUGUUAUGGGUUCUUUGCUUAAACAAAAAUGACAUAUUUUAAGCUGCCUCCAGCGUUGUAUGUGUUUGUUGCUGAAUCCCUUGUUGAACUUUUUGAAUUUGAUUGGCCAAUUUUCUUUCUAAAAAUUUAGGCAGUCAGAGACCACAAUUACUGCAACAAGCAACUACUCAAAUAAAAAAGAAUUAAAUGCACGAUUAAUACAUAAAUUUGGUAGAUAAGUGCACUUAGGCACAUCAUCUCUCUAAUUGUUUAUUUGGGUACAGUAACUUGGCAGGUGGGAUUGCUUAUUUGGAUGCAGUAACUUGGCAAGUGGGUGCAUGGUUGCUCACGGACAUGACAUGUGGGCAAAUUUUUGACAUGCUGGUAGCUGAUCUAGUAUGCAACAUGUGUCAUGCAUUGUGCCGUAGUGUCAUGCCCACUGCAACGUGACUUUGUUCGUUGUUGUAUCCCAGGACCAUACAUCUCAAAAUGACGAUGCAUGGGGUGUGGAGGUGUUUAUUUUGAGGUUGUUCGAUUAUGAGAAGAGAGCCUGUUUGAGGAUUUUAUUUGACUUGGCUAGGGAUUUGAGGAUAGGGAAGAAGAUUGUGUUUCUAUGUGCAUCCAUCACUCACCUACCAAAUUAUUGCGCUCAAACGAGCAACCGAGAGAUCAUGUACCUAAGCGUACCCGCCUGCCAAGUUAUUGCACCCAAAUGAAUAAUUAGAGAGAUGAUGCACCUGAGUACACCCAUCUGCCAAGUUCGUGUACAAACCGUGCAUUUAACUCAUAAAAAAACUAGGUGUGCUACAGUAAUUAUCUAUUAGAUAUAAGAAGGAUGCAUGUUUUACAAGCAUUUGCCUGUUCAUGGUUUAUUAAGAUUGUGAAAUAUUUUUCAGAAGUUACUGCAAGGAGGGCCAACGUCUAAACUAUUGCCAGGGUAUCAUGUUAGAUUAUAGAAUUUAAAAGGGGGUCAGAGGCUAGAGUAGACCCCUGUAUCAUUAAACGUUAGGCACUGGGAUUAUCGUCGACCGAGAUUAUAGAGUUUCAAUGAGGUCCUGUGAGAAAUGCCUUCGUCACAUGUUGCCAUGGACGAAUAACAGACCAAGAACCAGUAGUUGUGGGGCUGGGGCACUUCGCACCGUUAUAUUAUUUUAUCUAUUUUAUGGUUUUAAACUUAUGUCACUUCCUGAGAAAUCAAACCGCCAAGUUAUACUCGCAUUUACUCAUCCGAAAGAAGGAACAAGUUGAACAAGGUUCCUCUUCUCCAUCGUCAAAUAUUUGUUGCACUACAGGAAAAUAGUGUAAUUUCGUCGGCCAGAAACCGAUGAAAAUAGUCCGAAAGCCGUCGAAAAUAGCUAUUUUCGUCGGUCGGCCGACGAAAUUAGGCCGAUGAAAUAAAAUAGACGAAAAUAGCUUUAUUUUCGUCGGCCAGCACGGCCGACGAAAAUAUGUUCAUAUUUUCGUCGCCUCGCUGGCCGACGAAAAUAAAGGUAAUAUUUUCGUCAGCCACCUAGCCAACGAAAAUACUGGACACGCUACUGGGAUCCUGUUAAAAAAAUAGCUGCAUAUAAUAGCAAUUAUGAAACGCAAUCAUCCAUAAGCAGUUACUUAACAUAUCCAUUAUGAAAUACAUCAUCACACAAUCAUCAAAUACAUCCAAUAAGUACAAUGAUCAAAUACAUCCAAUAAGUACAAUCAUCAAUAAAUACAUCAUCCAAUAAUCAUCAAAUAAAGUAAGUUACUAAAACCUCAACGAAGUUAGCAACUUGGUACACAAGAAGCCCAUUAGAGAAGAAACAAAGGUAAGAGCUGACCUGCAUCAGGGCAAAUGAUAGGAUCAGGUUCAUCCAAACAUAUUGGUUCACGUUUCUGAUCCACUUGGCAAUUAUCUUUAUUUUUACGUACCUGUGCCGAGACAAGUUGCUUCAGAGAUCAUAACAAGGUAGAUAAUUUAAAAAUCUUAUUGGCAAGUACUGUAGCUAAAUUUCAAGUGCAUGCGGUGAAAUCCAGCAGAUUAGUACUUAUCAGUUAUCACUCUUGAAAAACUUGAGUUAGACAAAAAUCAACACAUAGUUCAAGAAACAGAUGAUCAUGGAUGAUUACCAGAUUAUAUAAGAACGAAAUAACCACAGAUAUACCUGAUGGGGAAAGCAAAAGAUGGAUAUACCUUAUUGAAUAGGCUUAGCUGAUUGCUAAUCGUGCAGAGAGAAACAACCACCAAAGGACAAGAGAAAGAUCAGAACAGUUAUGGGACGUUGUAAAUCGAAAUUUAGAUGGUGCAGUUGAGGGACAAGCACACGACAAAUCACCGAUCAACAAGCUGAAAACCCUUACGCAUUUCCUGAACAUAACGGUCACGUCAAUGCUUGUCGUGAGGCGCGGGAGAAGGUCGAUGGCAUCCGCGAUGUUCUGCUCCCGGUUGCGGACGUACUCCUCAUCCUUGUCCUACGAAUUGAAUCCCAAAACCAUUAUCACACCGAUCAAUACCACAGCCCGCAACCUAAUUUAAUCUAGCCUGCACACUGCUGUUGCAUCCCAACACAACACCGUUCUCAUGUUGAUCAACUGAACAGAAACAACCCCGUUAAAACCGAACCUGUACGGCGCUGUUGGAAUCGAUGAGGCAUUCGGCGACAAGCGAUAGCAACUUCUGUUGCGACACCUCGCUGGCGUCCGGGUUCAGGCUGAUCACAUUCUUCAGCGGCAGCAUGUUACCUGCACAAACGAAAACAGGAGACAUAAGUACCGCUGGAUAAGCACUUCGCGCGCGCUGUAAACUCGCAGGGGGUUCGGAAUGAGCGGGAGCUCACAGAUGGCGAGGAACGGGCAGGGGCCGUUGUCAUUCUGGUAGACGAUGGGUGUGCGACGUCCGAGGAAGCCGACAGCUCUCGUCCGGUGCAUCACCUGCGGCGGCUCGGCGGGCGGCGCGGCCGGCUGGGACUGAGGAUCCACCUCCGCCACGCCCGGCGAGGCCACCGGCGCGGGGAGGUGGGGCAAGGGGUCAGACGACAUGGACGGAUCUCCCACGCGAUCCUCAGGGCGAGGAACUUGCCGGAACCCUAACCCUAGGGCGUCGCCGCGGGAGUCGCCGUCGCGGGAGGAGGCACGCGUGCGAUGUCGCGAGGUGGAGUGGCGGCGGGGGCUGCGGGGCGGCGGCAGCGGCCCCCAGUGCGCCGCGGCAGAGGGGCGACCACGGGGCCGCAGAGCGGCGGCGGGGAGCCCCCCGGGGCGAUGGCGGGUGGCAGCGCGGGGCGGCGGCGAGGGCCCGCGGGGCCGGAGGAGGGAGGGGGGGCGCGCGGGGCCGUUGCAGGGGGCGGCGGGGGCCCGCGGGGCCGGCGGAGGGGGGCCGCGCAGGGCGGCAUGGCGGGGGCCCCCGGGGCAGCGGCGGGUGGCCGCGCGGGGCGGCGCCACGGGGCUGGCGGAGGGGGGGCCGCGCAGGGUUGCGGAGGGGGGCGGCUGGGGCGGCGGCGGUGGCGGCGGUGGUGGUGGGGCGCUGGGCCGGGGGCGGUGGCGGUGGGCGCGGGGGCGGGAGGCUCGGGCGUGUGGGGGGGGGAGUGUUGUGCGGGCCUGGAACAAGACAUCCAAAUCCUAAUAAUUAGGGUACCUAUAUUUUCGUCGGCCGGAGCGAGCCGACGAAAGUAGGUAUAUUUUCGUCGGCCUACAGAAGGCCGACGAAAAUAUGUUCUUUCUUUCAUCGGCCCAGGCCUGACCGAUAAAAAUAUGGACUAUUUUUCGUCGGCUUGCGCUAGGCCGACGAAAAUAAGUUCAAAUUUCGUUGGUUUGUGUUGGCCGACGAAAUAAGCUAGUUAUUUUCGUCGGCUUGUGUUGGGCCGAUGAAAUUACAUGUGGCCGAUGAAAUUGAUUUGGUUAGUCGUAUGGACUCAAUUAAUACAUAAGCUUAUUAAUGAUGAUUGUUUGAUUUAAUAUUGUAGAUUUACUCAUGAUCUUAACAUAUUUUAUCACUGAUGAAUAGUAUAAUUUAUAAAUGGAAAAUAAUUAUUUUAUGAUUUUUUAUUUAUGCUAAAUUGUUGCUUAAUGAAACCAAAUAUCUUGUUUACAAGGUUCGUUUUGAAAAUAUAUCAUUACCAAAUGCCAAUCCUUGCUUAUAAAUAAAAAGUUCUUGUUCCCUGAAUUUUUUUUGAAAACAUGUGCGUGCCACGCCACACCUUUGCUAGUGAGUAUCUAUGUUUCAAAAAAAAAGAUUUCAUACGAUUUUCAAAAUCGGAUCCGCUGUUUUCAUUAGGAGGAAAUUUUCAUGUGAGCUAUUAUAAAAGUUCUCAAUUCCUAUACGCCACUGCUCCAAGUUUUUGGACCCCUGCAUGCUACUACUGUUAGUAUUUGGUGGAACGGCAGCUAACAGCGGUUUAAAAUGCCCGUUACAGGUGGACUCCGCACGCACUAUUUGGCACUAUUCCUCUUAGCUUUCUCACAUAGCCCCCUCAUCUCUCUCCUAUUUUCCCACCACUCCAUCUUCUUCACCACAGAGCAGGGGCGCCUGGGGGAGCGGUCGAUGGCCAAAUCUUGGUCGGGGGAGGGCUCAGCGGCGGAGGAGGAACGGCCAGCGACCUUUGCGGGGCUAGGGUGCACCGGUGGGUGGCCACGGACUCACCAGAGGCAACCCGUGGUGGGCCAGCCGCUGGCGCUGGCGGUCGGCUGGGCGCAUCGACGGCGGCGGCGGCGGUGGGCUACGACGGCAGCGCGGUGGCCGGCGAGGGUGGGCUGCGUGGCAUCAGGCGGCCAGGGCGCACCUGCGGCCGGGGCCCGCCCGUGCCGAGGCAGGGCGCAGCGGCCCGGCCACAUGCGCGCGCGGCGAUGGCCCGAGCAGAGGCUACGGUGGCAGGGGGCAGUGGCGAGGGGAGCGGGCGGAGGAGGGAGGCCGGGCGACCUGGCGCUCGCUCAUGGCGGGUGAGGCGGGCGGGCGGGCGGGCGGCGCCGGUGAGGUGGAAGGUGAGAGAGUGGGGAGGUCGGAAGUCGAGAAAGAAGACUGACGUGCGGGGCCUACGUGGGUGGUUGGAAGUUGAGGAAGAAGAUCGACAAGCGAGACCCAUCUGCAAGAGGGCAAAGAAAAUAUUUUAAACUGCCGUUAGCUGCCGUUGCAUUCAAAACUAAUGACAGUGGUAUGUAGAGGAUAAAAACUUGUAGCGGUGGCCUAUAUGGUAUUGAAACUUUUCUAAUGGCGUAUAAAGAAUUGAGAACUUUAUAAUGGCCUCUGGCAUUAGUUCCGGCGUCACGAGAAGUUUCCGAAGUUUGGGCCAGCAUAGAUCUUGGGUCUUGUUCUGUAUGGCCGUAGCUGGGCUGGCUCACAGCACACUUUCUCCGGAGGAGUUUGGGCUGGCAGGCUGGGCAUUCGACUGACCCGACCUGGCCCAAACAAGACAGCCAAUUGAACCCAACCGAACAGAUCCUGACCUAGUAGGAUCAAAAGAAGACGAAGAAAAAAAAAAACAGAGACUGACCUGCCCCCGGGGUUCCUCCGCCGCCGCCGCCGUCGAUGGCCGACCUAGCGGCGCUCACGGACGACGUCCUAGCGGAGAUUCUCCUCCGCGUACUUUCCCUGCGGGACCUCGCGCGUGCCUCCGCGUCGUGCGCCUCCUUCCGGCGGGUCGUCUCCUCCUCGUCCUUCCUCCGCCGCUUCCGCCCCCUCCACGCACCGCCCCCGCUCGGCGUCUUCUGCUGCUACCCUGCCGGUCGCGGCGGCACGGCUAGAUCCCAGUUCCACGCAGCCCUGUCGCCUCACCCCUCGGCGCCCCUCGCCCGCGCGGUCGCCCGUUCAGCCGACUUCUCCUUCGCCUUCCUCCCGCCGCCCGCCGCCGACUGGCUCGUCCGCGACAGCCGUGACGGCCGCUUCCUCCUGGACCGCCCGCGUGACGGCUCCACCGCCUUCACCGAGGUGGCCAUAUGCGACCCCCUGUUCCGGAGGUAUCGUCUUCUCCCGCCCAUCCCCAACGACCUCGCCGCCUCCGUGGGAAACCCCUACGUCCAGCGCGGCGGGGAUGGUGACUCUCAAUCACGCAGCAGCGAAAUAUUCCUGGCUUCUCGUAGUCAUGACAGUGUCAAUGAGGAAGACCCGGCGUUCACUGUGAUUUGGAUGGCAUGCUGUCGAGGGAAGCUGGUCGCGUUCUUCUACUCGUCAGAGUCACAGCAAUGGCGUGUGCUUUCACCUCCAGAACACUACGCUCUGAGCACCAGAAGAGUCAUGGGCGUUCGUCUAGGACAGCGCAACCAUGCUCAUGCUUGCUUCUACUGGAUGGUAACCCUCACGCAUAGGUGGCUUGUGUUGGACACCUGCAAAAUGGAGUUCUCUGUCAUAGACAUCUCGCCUGUCCUGUCAGGCUGUGUGAUGAUGUUCAGUAAUCAAAUUACCACUCUGGAGUCAAGUGAUGGCAGGACUACUGUUGUGGUCUCUGAUGUUUUCCGACCAGAUAAAAGAUGUGUGUUGUACUUUUAUGCAUUCAUGUAUUUCAGGGACCGGUGGCAGCUCCUGAACAGAGUCACCUUGCCUGAGGAAUGGGGAUAUCGAUUUAGAGGCAUUAUAGGUUCUGCUGAGAGAUACUUAUUUAUAAAACUAGAUCACCCUAAGGAGAACCUGAAUGAUCAGAGUGAGCGACAUGUUGAAUAUUUUUCGCUUGAUGUCAAGACCAUGCAGCUUGGGAGUUUCUGUCGGACGACCCUUCUUACUGUCAGCGAAGCCUACCUGUAUUGUGGUUUUCCUCCAUCACUAUUGCUGCCUUCUAUAUGAUUUGGUAUGUUAUGCUUCUAACUUACAAGGGCCAUUUAUACAGCUUUUGUGUUGAGUCAUAAAAGGUACUGUUUAGUAGUAUGCUUAUGUUAUUUAAACGGUUGUUUUUUAUCACUUAUCAGAAGCAACAUAUAUAUUCUUUGAGGCCUUGCUUCACUACACUUUUUCUGAAACUGAUAUCCUAGUAUUCCAAUGAUUUUAUUGUUCUUGUCUAUUACUAGCAUGGAAGAAACAACUAUACUUGGAGGCUUGCCUAGUUUUAUACAAGUUUUUUCUUGUUUCCUUGUUGGGCAGCUCAUGUUAGGUUUCAUCUCUAGCCAACCAGGCAACCACAACUUGCUUGGGACUAAAAUGUCUGUUGUUGUUUUUCCAUCACCAUACUUUGUUUUUCCAUCACCAUACUCUUAGUUAAGAUAUAAUGAACAAAGAAAAAGAAAGAUAAAACAGCAUAAAAUCCUAUCAAUUGCAAAUGAUUAAGAUACCAUGUGGACCUUUUUGAUUUACUGGAGUGGCAGCUGGUGCACAUAUGGUUUCGAUUCACAGUUGACUUCUCUCAUUUAGAGGGGAUUCCAAGCAUCCUGUAUUCAUGAUGUCAUCACUGUGUCCUCGAUGUAGCCGCUCUUUUACACUUGAAUUUGCCAUCAGUUUUAAGAUAAUCUCAAUAUGUCAGAAGUCACCCCUAUUAAAACCAAAGCUUGCGGCAGUUGCAAAGGUUUUGAAGGCUCAAUUUUCGUAUGACCUCACAUUUUGCUGCAAAGCUAUUGAUAUUACCACUAUUUGAAGAUUUAGCACACCUUUCUAUAUGCAAAAAUUGCUUACAUGUUUUUCCUUUGUAUAGAUAGAUCAAUAGCUUUUUCUGCUAAUUGAAGUGUUCGCUGUAAAAGCAUCUGAUGCUCUUGCUUACCUGAGUGAGUUAUCAUUUAUGAACUACGCUGGUAAUAAAUGUUGAUAUUCUUGCUCUUGCUAUUUCCUUGCUCUUGAAUCUUGGUGAACAGGAUUAUUGUGGUAGAGGAGUGCCAAUAACAGUGCCUCUGUGAGCACAUGGAGUGAGGAAAAAAGUUGGGCAAAUGAAGUUGUUCGAAAUGAGAAAAUUACUUAGAUUGGCACUUGACCAGAGAUGUUAUUAAAAGAGAUGCUAAAAUAAUAUAGGUCAUGGUGAUCCUUGAGAAAUGCAGGUGUCCUAUCGAUCCUUGUGAUUAAUUUCACUAUCUCAACUGGGGGAUCUACCACAGAGACUAUUAGGCUGGCCCUCUUGUAUUUCAUAUUGUGGGUCAGAGGCUCACAGCAUCAGACUGGUGACGAAGAUUGAUACGAUUGGCACAUGGACUGGUGAUCCUUGAGAAAUGCAGGUGUCCUAUCGAUCCUUGUGAUUAAUUUCACUAUCUCGACUGGGGGAUCUACCACAGAGACUAUUAGGCUGGCCCUCUUGUAUUUCAUAUUGUGGGUCAGAGGCUCACAGCAUCAGACUGGUGACGAAGAUUGAUACGAUGGAACAGUGAAGCUAACUAGGUUGAACUUGAUAUGGUGUUGUUCCUCGGUGGCCAUUAGGGCAUACAAGAUGUUUAGUUUGUGAUCAUUACUGUAGUAGGUUUUCCAUUUGUUACAAGAAACUGCUUGUUAGAGCUGUAGUAAUAGAAUCGUUACCUUGAAAACAUGUUCAAGCUUUUACUGUUAACUGUAACCUGGCAAACCCAGCAACACUAUGUUUCUUUGCUGUGUUGAUGUGCCACCACUGUCUUGCUAAAUCUCUCCGUUCAUUUUUAUAAGUUGUACCUGGUUUCCUUAGCGUAAGUAUUUAACUGAUAUAAUCACCAUACUAAGGACCUAUUUAAAUGGGUUAAAAAUUUGAGUGCUAGAUUUUAGCACCUAUUACCUCUGCUAAAGUUUUUGAGUCUUGGCUAAAGUUUAGUUCACUUUAUCAGCAUUUUUGUUUGGAUUUGCUAGUGCUAAUAUUUCGUACUUUUGGGCAUUAGUAUUGGAUUCAAACAUCCUAAAUAUUUAACUUUUGUGGCAACUUUAUGACAUACAUUUCGUAAAGAUUGAGGGAUGGAGUAAAGUCUAAAGUGCUAAGAUACAUUGAAUUAUGCAGGGGCGAAGCUAGAGCAAAGAGAAGAGGGUGCAUCAUUAGCACUAGGUUGCUACGAGGAUGCACAAAUUCUAAUUUGGAGGGUAAAUAAGUGGUGAAAAUUUUAUUGUAAUAGGUAAUUUUUGUUUUCUCCGUGGGUGCAUAGGCAAUGUCGGGAAUACGAAAUUGGAAAAGCUCGGUCGGGAAUACGAAAUCGGAUAUAGGAAAUGUCGGAAAUGAAAUAAUUUGAUCAGAACUAUAUUGACAAAGGUCAGUAUCUGAUAAUUAAAAGCAGGAAGAACAAACUACACACACACUUCAAAUGUUCAACUUAACACAAAAGGAUACAAAUACGAUACUACCAACUAUAAAGUGCAUAGUAGAUAGCACAGUACCACCUAUAAAAUAUGUAACAAGUUGUUUUAUUAAUAUUUUAUUUUUAAUAAAUCAGCUGAAAUACAUGUAUUCUAUAAAAUCAAGAACUUUUUUUGAGAAAAGAAAAAGCCAGACGUUGGGACUCCAUAGGCCGAAUCAGAGCAACUCUUCUUUUCCUAUGGGCUGCAGCCUGUAGUGGGCCUGCCGAAACGGCCGUUUGCAUGCUGCUGCUGCUGCUGCAGCAGUAAUGCAUGCACCAUGCAUGUCGGCCGCUCCGUUAGAGUAGCGUUUGGUUCACGAGCGAGCUGGAACGGAGCAAUCCUGCUCCUUUGGUUCACGAGCACGAGGACCCACCCAUUCUACGGAGGGAAUAUUCCCUCAUGAUUCGGGAUGGUUCCAUCCUAAAAAAAUCGGUCAAACCGAGCUAUCCCAGUUGGACAGCGCGAGAGCCGUGCGGACGAGCGACGCCGGUGAGGUGGAAAGGUUCCACUUGACGACGGUGCGCGCAAGGGGUUCCGACGAGACUUAACUCAAAAAUAGCGUGGGUGAGUGGCUCCGAUGAGGGCAUGAGGCGAAGCUCCGCGGCGGCGGUAGGCGCAACCGGGAGCUGGGACCGCGCUAGGCGGCGCAGGGCCGAGGCCACGCCUGCCUGAGCCUCGGCAGCCAGAGAGAGGCGGCGCGGGGGCCGAGGCGGCGCGGGGGCUGCGGUCGCACCUGCCCGAGGCGCGGCGGCCGGUAAAAGGCAGCGCGAGGGCGGCGGCCGCGCCACAGGCGCAGCCAUGGCUGCUCGAGGCGGCAUAGAAUGCAGUGCAGGGGCGGGGCAGAUUCAAGAUGACGGCGGUGGCGAAUGCAGCACGCGGAAGGGAAGGAUGAAGUGAUUUGGCUGAAGUACGGGCCCACAGUAACAGCAGUUAAGUUAACAUAUUACAUCCAAUUUUCACCUCAUUGUUAUGGUCAUAAUUUGGCUGGGCCAGAAGGUGGGCCGUGAGCAAGAUGGGCUGAGAGGAUAAUUAUAAUGGGUUUGUGAAUCGGCUCCUGCGCGGGCGGUUUAAGGCCAGAUUAGCCAUGUAUCUAGUUUAAGUUAGUUUAGAUAUAGCUAGUUAAGAUUCGUGUCGUAGUUGAUCAGGAUUGGUUAGGAGAGGCAAAUCUCCACACUAUAAAUAUGUACCCUAGCAGAACAACAUCCAUUCACAAACAACUCUCCGCGCAUCGCCACCCUUGUUUUAGGGUUUCUCUCAGGUAAGCGACCAUGCUUCGCGUGAUCGGGGCAGCAUCAUCCCUGCCUAUCUAUCUUUAUAUUUCUCGUGCUGAAGCGUUGUUGAUGGCGAGUAACACUAGUUAUAUUAACAUUUAUAGGGAUGCAUCGGCUUUUCAUACUGUAUCCAUGCAUCGUUCAUCACCUGUAAACGUUUAGCUGUCUUCGUGCCCGAUCCUGGGUGUGAGGGUAGCGCCUUGCUCUGUUCCGAUUAGUAGAUCCGAUCUAUUAUGGUUAGUCUUUGUUCAUCAAAGAUUUGGCUUAAUAUCUGCAUGGUUAGACCUUUCAAACGGGUUGAAUGUUCCGGCAAUAUAUUUGAUGCUUUGUAUAUUGAUCUAAAGAGGGAUUGUUUCAGGAAUCGGCUUUCUGUUGGUUUCUAAGCCUCUGUUUAGGUUGGUAUUAUAUUGUCUUUCGUAUUUAUUAGGCUUAACUACGCGUGGGAUGAUCCGAUCAUGCGGUGAAAGCUUUAACCGUCGUAGAUUGAAUCAGCUUAUCGAUUACAGAGCUAGUUUAUAUUAUCAUCAGAUUUGUAUAUUAUGCCUAAGCGAACAGAUCCAAUCUGAUGUCGAGAAGCAAUCGGCUCUUUGCAGCCGAUUGCGGGAAUCACUCGAAGAGCCGAUCACGGCUUGGACUAAUGUUUGAACGUGUCUGUGAACACAGGAAACUAACUGAAAACGCAUCUACACCUUCUUAAUCAGGUAUAGGUCAUGUGGCACGCCUAGCGAAUUCUGAAGCCAGGUAUGUGCCAGAUCUUGGGCCGUUGAUCGAGGGAUCGGGGCCCACCAGCAGUUCCAGGAGCCUCCCGGCUCCUUGUGUUGUCUGUCGCUUCUCGCCGGUGGGUUUUGACCGACAACACAUUCUGGCACGCCCAGUGGGACCAUCUUCAUCGACUACAUCAACUUCCACCGUGGGGAUGUCGAGGGAGGAUCCAAUCACGUAUGAGGAGCUGUCUACUGAGCACAAGCAGAAGUAUGAUGAGAACAAGGCUCUCUUCGAAGCCGAUCUCAUCAGCUCUUUUGAGAGGACCUGCCACCACGGCGUUCGGUGGAAGGGGUUCUCACCUGAAGGUGCUCUUGAUGACGUGGACCUAUCUAUCCCUUCAGAGGAUCGUAUCAGAGCUUUGCGCCAGGAGGUGAACUACAUGGUGGCUCAUUCACUGCAUUGGCACUCCGAGAGCCUGGUGAACACUUUUUAGCGUGUCGCGCUACGCGUGGUUCAGGAAAUCAUGAAGCAUCAGUACUCUCCAAUGGGACCUACGCUGGGGAGUCACAAAGGAGAAUUGCCAUUCCAGGCUAAGCCACCGCUGCCUUAUGCGUUCGCGGCUCCAGAAUCACACGGUUCACAGGCUUACGUCAUCUACAAGGUGGGAGGUGACCCUGUGGAUCACCAGUUCUUCAGCGAGCCGCCCAAGGAGAUCCCACAUGGGUACAUGUGUGAAUAUAUAUACCGGACAGCAAUAAUCCGGUACAUUUGGUGCAGAGGGCGGCUGGAGGAGUUUCCGGAAUAGAUGCCGAUAAACAAGCGUGGCUAGCUACUUACGCCACCGGGCCGAGUCAUGACAGCAUGCACUUGGCCCCAGGAGCCCAGACGGUAGAUCAAAUCAGCACUAUCUUAAGGGAUCAAUUUGGUAUUUUACUGAAAAGGCGGGCGAUCGGCUAUACUAAGCCAUAUCCCAGUGAAUAUGACUUGAUCCCUCUGCCACCCAAGUAUCGGCUCCCUGAGUUCACCAAGUUCAGUGGGUCGGAAGGAUCCAGCUCUAUCAAGCAUGUGAGCCGAUACUUGGCAUAAUUGGGGAUGAUCUCAGUGUCGGAUCCUCUGCGAGUAAGGUUCUUCUCGCAGUCUCUUAUAGGGCUAGCCUUUGGAUGGUACACUUCAUUGGGCCCUGACUCGAUCCGCACCUAGAAGCAGUUGGAGGAGCAGUUCCAUAUCCAAUACCACUCGGAAGCCACGGAGGCCGGGAUUGCCGAUUUGGCACAAGUUCGGCAGAAGCGAGGGGAAACCGUGGCAGAGUAUAUCCAGCGCUUCAGAAAGGUUAAGAACCGAUGCUACUCGACCCGUAUUUCAGAAAAGGAGGCGGUCGAGUUGGCAUCCUUGGGACUAGUAAAGCUGAUCAAGGAUCUGGUCUUUCAAUUGGAGUUCAAUUCUUUGGCGCACUUUGUGCAGAAAUUGACAUCAUAUGAGCAGCGCCACCCAGAAUUGUACCAGGACAAGUUCAAAUGUCAGGUAACAUUGAUCGAUGUAGAAGACACUGAAGAUUCUGGGGAUGAUCAAGAGAUAGCGGUUGUAGAGUGGACUCGGGGGGCAAAUCCCAUGUCCUGUAAGUGGGUGAAGUAGCAAGGACCUACAAAGGGUUUUGAUUUCAACAUAAGUAACGUCGAGCAGAUAUUUGAUCUGUUACUAAAGGAAAAGCAGUUGAAGUUACUGGAAGGCUGUAAGCUUCCUAUAGCACAAGACUUGUAGGUCAUAUUGCAAAUGACAUCAUUCUUUCACCCACAACACUAGCGACUGCAAUGAACUCCGUCGACAGAUCCAAUCAGCUAUCGAGCAGGGCCGAUUGUUCUUAGGUCAGUAUGCCAUGAAGGUUGACACUCAGCCUUUCCCAAGCGUGAACAUGGUAGAGAGUUGUGACCGAUCUGCUUGACGACAAUUGGAUUUCGCAUUUGACAUCAAUAUGGCGGGGUCUGUGCCACGUCGCUAUGCAAGGAAGGAGGAGGCCGAUCCCUGCGAUCGGCCCCGAAAAGGGGAAAAGGAAUACAUCACGGAAGAGCAAGUAAGGCACAUCAGGAAUCAACGGCUGGCUUUCUCCCAUCUCCUCAGGAAGUAUGAGUACCAGUACCAGCAACGUCUCCAGCGUGAAUUGGAGGAUGAAGAAUAUGAGCGCCAUACUGGGAAGAGUUUGAAAACACAUUCUAGCACACGUGAUCAUUGGCAUUGCCCGUUCUUCAAGUAUUGCUGGGACUCCGGUAUGAGCCGAUUGCCUACUGUCAAGGAUUGCCCGGAGUGCAGAUCUCGGAAGCGUGAUGCAGAAGGGGUCUCGGUGUUUCGACGUUUAGGACUUGCACCGCCCCAACAUGAGCAAGCUGAGCCACUACACAGAAAGGAAGACUUUGAAGAAGAAGAAGAAGAAGACAAAUAUCACCGGCCGCGCUGGUGCCCUGAUGGACUUAAUCGUUCCAAGAAGCGCAGGGUGCAGCGGUUGCGCAGUUUGGAGGAAGCCGAGGCCAAAUACCUUGAGAUGCUAAGAAAGGCGCGCCCGGACCUAGCGGAUAAGGUUCACUACACCCAGAAAAGGGAAUCGCGCCUUCCUAAGAAAGAGUGGCGUCCUAGGCCAACAAGAGCCGAUGCGAAGACAUCGGCUGACGCGCAUAUGGUGUUUGUACUCCCUGCGGAGUUCCACGCCCAAGGCUGUGAAGAGUUACCGGUAGCCCAGCUUGACUUGGGGCCGCGGCCAGUCAUAUUCGAGAAGCCCCAAGGAAAGAAUUAUAAGCAAUUGAAGGCUCUAUACCUCAAAGGUUACAUCAACGGCCAGCCUAUCAACAAAAUGUUGGUCGACACCGGCGCAUCGGUCAACAUAAUGCCAUACUCAGUGCUACGUCGGUUGGGGCGUUCUAUUGCAGAUUUAAUCAAGACCAACGUCACGUUGAGCGACUUCAAUGGCCAAACAUCAGAGGCAUAAGGCGUCCUUAGCAUGGAUCUGACCAUGGGAAGCAAGACCGUCCCCACCUCUUUCUUCAUUGUCAACAGCAAGAGUACUUACACUGUCCUACUUGGGAGGGAUUGGAUUCACGCCAACUGCUGCAUUCCUUCCACGAUGCACCAAUGUUUGAUUCAGUGGGAUGGAGAUGAAGUAGAAGUGGUUCAUGCGGAUGAUUCGGUCAAGAUUUCACAUGCCGCCAUGAGCACUUGGGACGUAGAGGAUCAAGAGCCAAUUUCAAGAAUUAGUCUGGAAGGCUGUGAUCGCGUGGAAGCUACAAAAAACGGGGUGAGGCUGGUCUUAUCCACUGGCCUUAUAGAGUAGACGAGACAUCAAGGGCAAGCUUCUUUGCCUUGAUCUGGGCUCAGGGGGCAGCAACGUUAGAGACUCAUUUUCGCUUGGAAGCCGAUUUUGUAGAAUCAGGCUGGAUCCUUAUUAUGACCUUCGAUGGGGGAGGUGCGUUCUUGCCAAAGAGGGCCAUGGGAGCAACCGGUAAGAACUUGAAGGUGGAGCCAUCAUCGUUCUUGGGCUCCAGACGAUCCUCCUGCUGCAGAGAAAAUAUACGAAAUUAGAGAAGGGGUCAAGCGGAAUCAUGAAGAAGUACUAAACUGAUGAUAAUACCUCUUUCUUAGGGGCUUCAUACUCAGUGUUAAUCUGCUGCAGCAUUGGCCCCAAGGCUUUCUGAAAGACGUGAGUCUUCCACAUUGACCACCAAUUCUUGAAGCCAAUGGCCGAAGAAGUGAAUGAUAAGUUGACGGGGAUUGGGAGGUGAAGAUCAGUGAACAGACUAUAGCAUCUUUGGCUGGUGAGGAUAUCAGGCAGAUCAGUUCUACUUAUUGUCAGAUGGUGAAGGAAGAAGUGGGGAGGAACUUGCCCAAGACCAAAUUGCCGGGCUGCUACGACUGGCUGGUAGAACUCAUAACCUGGCUUGAUGAUUCUGUUGGAGGUGCUCAUGCCGACUGGAAGGAAGCAAGGGCAAAUCAUGAUAGAGUACAAAUGCCGAGUGCUAUCAUCAUCGGCAAAGUCAGCCAAUCUGAAGGCAAUUGGGUUCUCAAAGAUUUUAGAAUCGGUGUAAGGAAGGAAGAUAGGGUUGUCCAGACCUCGAUAGAAUAUCCUAAACCAGCUUGAGGCAUCUGUGGGGUUCAACUUGCUACCAGAAAGACUGUACAGAGCUUGGCCGAAGCUGGUACACCUGAUUUUUCUCCCACUCUGAGCUGGAAAGGACUUAUUGGCCAGAACAGGGAAGUUUGGUAUGUGGUUCUGAAAAUAUAGGUGAGCCCACAACUGGAUGAAUCACCAGGGAUCACCGGUUCUGAGUUUCUUUUCGGUAAGCAGGCUCGAAGAUAUCAGGUGAAGAUAUCUAUAGACUUCUCCAAGGAACAAUUUACCAAGGCCAACAGUAUUACCUUUGGCCAGUUCAUAUGCUAGAGAGAGGUAGUUUUUGGUUGGGGCAAGGGAAGGACCGCAAAAUAUGAAGUGUUCCAACCAGAGAUUCAGAAAGGUCGUAUGUUCUUUCUCAAUUACAGGGCCUUUGGUUUUGAUGUGCUGGUUCAGGUAGGCAUCCCAGUUUGUGCACUCUAUUUUAGAGGACAAUUUAAAGGGGACCUCAGGCAGUCUAAAGGUAGAAGGGCUAGGCGAUGCAAUCUCCAAGCCAGUAAUCAUCAUGACAUCCAUGAGGGUUGGAGUCAUCGGCCCAUGGCCAAAUAAAAAGUAGUUCAGGGCAUCAGACCAAAAAUAGCCGAUGGUCUUCAGAAGGUUUUCAUUCUUUUUGAGGGGGGACAAUGAUAGAGACAAAGCAUCGGCUGUUCCUAUGGUUUCCCAUGUGGAUUGGUAGGUUUUUGCUACUCUGUUGUACCAAGAUACCCAGCCCUCGGGAGGAUUUGGCCAGGCACGCAGGCUGUCGGCCCAGGAAUCUAAAUCUAUGUCUUGGCAUACAAAUAGUAUCCUAUUAGCUUCACAAGAAAUCAGAUCUACUAGACUCUCAUAAGAAUGAGGCCCAAGACAAAAGAAAUUGGGGGAAGAAGGAUGCGGCAAAAGAAUGUCUGAAACCUGAAGAAUUGAUAAGAGCCAAAUAGCAGGAAAGGAUCAUUUAAUGCUUCAAGGGUUCGAAUAAUUACUUCAUUAAAUUAGCGAAAGGGCAGAGUUUUACCUUCAGACAAAGGAUGCCCGCAUCGGCAUUCGAGGGUUCCGCCAUCUGAAGCUCCAAUGGUGAUCGAAGGCUCGAGAUUGGAUCUAGGGUUUGCUUCGCGAGUUUCGAGUUCACGCUUUGAGGCUUCAACCUGGGGUUUUGCGACUGAGUUUAUGAGCACGGGUUUUGGAGUGCAACUUGGAUUCAGGAAAUCUGUGUAGAUCUGUUUCGGGAAAGUUUUGGAUUUAAGUAGAAGAUGAAAUUGGUUCAAGAAUCAACUUAGAUCCGGAUCGGUAUUUUAAGGGAAGGAACCAAUGCGUUGCCAUCGGCUCCCGGUGAAUCGGCUUCUCAACAUUUGUUGACUAAAUAUAAGAUUUCCUUCAUAAGGAAGGUCAUUACAAAAAGGGAGCCGAUUGCUCCUGAAGCCGAUCUAUCGGCUCUGUACAUGGCAGUCGUUGCUAAUCCUACGAACUACCACUAGUAAGUGCCUAAGACCUUGCGGCGCUUGAUCGGAGGGGCUGCGCUGGUGUCGCUGUCGUCAUCGCUGUAGUCAUCUCUGCCACUGUCACUGCUGUAACCGAUGCCGCCAUCGGUUUCUUCGUCGUCCCCUGACGACCCACCACGAAGAAAGCCUCCUGCUGCCGAGUCUUCCUCGGUCGACGUGCCGUCGAUUCCUGCCUCCGAGGAGGAGAAAUUCCCCUCCUAGGACAAGUCGUCAUCGUCGUAUUUAUCCAGUUCCCCGCCAAGGAGGAGCUGGAGAUCUCCGCCGUCGGUCGGGGAUUCAUCAUCCUCGGACCAGGCCCAAAAAUCCCACUCGUCUGCAUCCCAAUGUAGAGGAGUGCAGGCCUCGUACGCGGCUAUAGGAUCAAACUCCGGGGGCGCCUCUCGAGUGGUCUCAGAUUCGAUGGAGAUGAUGGAGGAGGCAGAGGAUGAGGAGGCCAUUUGUGGGAGAAGGAGGAGUAAACUGCUGCAGUUGCUAUUGGCUCAAGGAAGAAGAUGAAUGAACAGAUUGCCAGGUCGAGUUUAUAAAGGUAGGAAUGGGGUACGGAUCGGCACCGUGAUGAUUUUCAAGAAGUUAGAUGCAGAGUGGUCACAUCCCGUGGAAGUGGAAGUGGCACGCGUGUACGGAUCUUGGAAGUCGAAGAGGCAAGGUGAUGGAAAGAAAAAAAAUGAUUUCAGAAUUAUUAUUGUUGAUUCCAGGAGGGCAUGUGUUAUCGCCAUAAUUUGGCUCGGCCAAAAGGUGGGCCGCGAGCAAGAUGGGCUUAGAGGAUAAUUAUAAUGGGCUUGUGAAUCGGCUCCUGUGCGGGCGGUUUAAGGCUAGAUUGGCCAUGUAUCUAGUUUAAGUUAGUUUAGGUAUAGUUAGUUAAGAUUCAUAUCAUAGUCGAUUAGGAUUGGUUAGAAGAGACAAGUCUCCAGACUAUAAAUAUGUACCCUAGCAGAACAACAUCCAUUCACAAACAACUCUCGGCGCAUCGCCACCCCUGUUUUAGGGUUUCUCUCAUGUAAGUGCUAUGCAGCCCAGAUCACGCUUCGCGUGAUCGGGGCAGCAUCGUCCCUGCCUAUCUAUCUUUGUGUUCUCGUGCUGAAGUAUUGUUGAUGGUGAGUAACACUAGUUAUAUUAACGUUUAUAGGGAUGCAUCAGCUUUUCAUACUGUAUCCAUGCAUUGUUAAUCACCUAUAAACGUUUAGCUGUCUUCAUGUCUGAUCCCGGGUGUGAGGGUAGCGCCUUGCUCUGUUCCGAUUAGUAGAUCCGAUCUAUUAUAGUUAGUCUUUGUUCAUCAAAGAUUUGGCUUAAUAUCUGCAUGGUUAGGCCCUUCAAACGGGUUGAAUGUUCCGGCAAUAUGUUUGAUGCUUCAUAUUGAUCUAAAGAGGGAUUGUUCCGGGAAUCGGCUUUCUGUUGUCUUUCGUAUUUAUUAGGCUUAACUACGCGUGGGAUGAUCCGGUCAUACGGUGAAAGCUUUAACCGUCGUAGAUUGAAUCAGCUUGCCGAUUACAGAGCAAGUUAUAUUAUCAUCAGAUUUGUAUAUUAUGCCUAAACGAACAGAUCCAAUCUGAUGUCGAGAAGCAAUCGGCUCUUUGCAGCCGAUUGCGGGAAUCACCCGAAGAGCCGAUCACGGCUCGGACUAAUGUUUGAACAUGUCUAUGUACGCAGGAAACUAACUGAAAAUGCAUCUACACCUUCCUGAUCAGGUAUAGGUCAGGUGGCACGCCUAGCGAAUCCUGAAGCCAGGUCGUGUGCCAGAUCCUGAGCCGUUGACCGAGGAACCGGGGCCCACCAGCAGUCCCGGGAGCCUCCCGGCUCCUCGUGUUGGCUGUCGCUACUCGCCGGUGGGUUUUGACCGACAACACUUGUCCCUCUAACCGAACACAGAACAGAAUUAUUCCGUUCUCCAACCAAACACUACAUAUAGAACCAUCUCAUCCCUACAAUCUGGGAUGAGUUCGCUCCAUUCUAUCUCUCUAACCAAACACUACCCAAAUAUUUAGUCCCAGAUUGGCACUUGGAGGCAGAAGGAGGCGCAUGCGCUCCAUAUAACCAGACUCUGCAUCUGCUCAUUGAUGGGAACGUGAGGGUGCCCGAUCUUCCAUCAUGAGGAUAAUUAUCAAUUUGUCGAGAACCCGACACAAGCGAUCCAACUUCCGAUCAACAAGACCCGAGCCCGCAAUCGAAGCACCACAUCGUUUCUUGGUUAUCAACCAUGCACUGCCCGGUUGACCUCGCCAUGAAAGAUAGUCCUUGCUGGUGAAUCGAAGAAGACAAGCAAGAACGAGAAAGAAUGCAACCAAAUUACAUAUGAAUGAUUAAUCACAUGAAGUUGGAGUCUCACAAACCGAUGACGGCGAAGCUGCUCUGAACAUAAUUAUCUAAGCAAAAUCCAAAUCCAAAUUUGGGCGACUCUACUAAAUAUAAAGUGUUUAGGGCGUGCAAGACCCCUGGACCCACCCCUAGUGGGCUCCAAUACGAUACACGGGCCAAUGGCCCAAAAGACGACGGCGCUGCACCCUAACAGAUUUUGGAUGUCACUUGUUUCAACGAUUCCUGUUGAUUCGGAUCUGAUAAUGAUGUGGAAUCGGUGGCAUUGGAACGCUUAUCUCCUUAACUUUCCAUACAUAUGUAGAACGUUAAAUUUGGACUCCGUAUGCGACCUGGGCGUCGGUUUUACCACAGACUGCUCCUGAAAUUCGAGAUGGACUCGAACAUGAUAUGGAUUGGGCCUCCAACUUGAAUUGGACGCCCUUACUCGCAUCCUAAGAGGUGGCCAAGGGGAGGGACGUCCAAGGGAUUCCUUGGCAUGUUCCCCAUCUUCUUGGGGCGUGCUCCAACUUGGACCAGGAUCUCAAGGAUGAAUAACGAGCUCAUGACGAUGACGUUGCUCCUGGCAGAAACAACAACAGCUAGUCUUGAUGAUUUGGAGAUCUUACCGACAUGAUAUUAAAGUGGGACAAGAUCUAUUUGAAACUUAUCAAGCAAGCUUUCCAUCAAGUGCUCAUUGACCGCAAUCGCACUCUAGAUGGAUGAGUUAUGACCUUUCCAAUGAAGCAAUGUUGGCCUGCCGACGAACUGACAGUUCAACUUUGAUGGACUUGCACUUUGAGACACAUCUAUACCUACAAGCAAAUAAUGAGACGUAUAUGUAGAACCAAGUGAAUUGUACCAAAAAUCACUAUGUAAAAGUAGGAGCGAGCUCAACUUAUAAUGAAGGUGUGAUGUCCUUAUCACUCCUUGUCACCAAACUGUGCGCUAGGUGCAACCUGUAAACCUUUGUGCGCCGCUAGACAUAAGAAUUUUUCAAGAGCAAAAAGGGGAAUAAUAGCUACCGAAUUCCCAACUCGGCUGCUCUCAAUCAGGAUAAGCUCGCUGGAGAAGUGAUACACUGAAUUAUGAUAUUUUUUAAAAAGUAAUUAACGAUAUCUUAAGAUAAUUGCUUCAUAAUGCGAUUAAUUCUGCAACCAUAUAGAAUCACUAUUGUAGCAUUUUACCUGGGAGUAUUACAUAGUAUUGUAUUUAUAUUUCCACACAAAACACUAGUUGCUAAGGUAAUCGAUAAAUAAAUUUUAAAAAUAUAUCAAUACUUUAGUGAAUAACAACUCAAUAGGGUAAGGUAAUGAUAAAGAGCUAAGGCGAUCGAUAAAUAAAUUUUAGAAAUAUAUAAAUACUUUAGUGAAUAACAACUUAUCAGGGUAAGAUAAUGAUAAAGAGGAUAGUACUGACACAUGAUUAGAUCUUGGUAAGAUAAAUAAGUAAGCGGCCUAAGCAGUGGGAGAACAACGAGACGAGAUAGCAUAUUUCAGUCAAGCUUUCUUCUAUGUCUCAGACUGUUUUUUUCGCGCAUCUAGGAUGCUAUUUCAUUUUAGCAAAUGUUUUCUCAGCCCAUCAGCUUCUCCCGUGAUUCGGUAUGUAUGGAAUAAUUUGUAGGUUGCGUCAAUGCGCUCUGCUGCCAACCCACUUGAUCACUAGUUAGCCAAACUGUUGCAUAUUGGUGUGGUGGGUUGUGUUCAGUUUGCAACCGAGUAGUUUAUAAAGUGAAAAAUAAGCCUACGUGUACAUAAAUUAUCUACAAAAUGAACACAUAAGUCUACAUCAUGAACAAGUUUGGCUACAUAGCGAAUAAAGUAUUAUUCAAAUUGACCAAAACUUAUAUCGAUAAGUAGUGAGUCUACAUCAUGCACUAAUUAGCCUAUACACGAAUAACUUAUUUUUACAGCCGAACAAACUAUGCCCAGAUAGUGAACAAUUUAUUUUACAAUGUGAACAAAUCAGUUUACAUCGCUAACUUCAGCCCACGGUAUGAAAAAAUUUAGUAUAAACUGAAAGCAAAAAUAUUCUUCAAUAUGAACCAAUAGUUCGAGAUAAAAAACAAUCCAUGUGCGUCACAAACAAAUUAAAUUUGUCCACAGUUGAACACAUAUAGUUAUAGACGACCAUAAUAUGUUCAUGUAGCGAACAUGUUACUGUACAAAAGCAAACAAAUUGAUUUAUAUUGCCAUGUAAUCAGUCCACAACGCAAAUAAGCACAAUGGUGAAUUAUUCAAAUUGUUCUUCAAUAUACUAUAGAAUAGUGGAAAUUUUUGCAUGGCGAAUUAUUCAAAUACUAUAAUCAAUAAUUUCACAUGGUGAAUUAUUCAGAUACUAUAUAACAAUGGAUGUUUUGGAAAAGGAAAAAUCAAAUAUGAUGUGGAGCAAUAAAAUUUAAUUUCUUGAAUAAAAUAUAUCAUACAUAAUCAUUUUUCACUAUUAGAACAAAUACAAUAUUCUACCAAACAAUAAACUUUUAUUACGAGAGUAAUCUCAAAUAUAGUACAGGUCAUAGGUUUUCACUUACAAAAGAAUAAAUUAUGAUUUUGUGUACAUCCAAUUAUAAGAAAUAAAUAAGAAUGGCAUGGAUUAUAUAAUACAAAUACAUUUAUGUGAGUAGGUGAAAAGUUAAAUAAGUAAAUAAAAGAAAAGGAAAAAUGAGUAGAAUAGAAAAGGAAAUAAAAUAAGUUGAUUAGGAAAAUGAAGAAGGAAAGAAACUGGCAGUAGGAAGAAAAGGAAGUAACGACACGGUAAAAAACGAAACAAAUAACUUAAGAAAAAAAAAGGACGACAAACGGAAGAAAACAAAACUUGAAAAAAAAAUAGAAGAAACUUUGGCGCGUUGCAACCAGCCAACAGGCCAGCAAGGGAAGGACCUGGGCUGACAUCGAUACUAGGCCAUGAGAAGCGGAAGACAAUCAAAAAGCUCAUUUAUUGGCCCAAUUUACAAUAUCAGUCCACGGGCAAUUUCAUCAGGUGAUGGAAACAAAUUUUAUAGCCUAAACAACAUAUAGUGCACGCGCGACUUUUUUUAAAAAAGGUGAUAAAAAAUUAAAAUUCGAAAAAGGGGAGCCGGAUGGGAAAAAUUAGGAAAAUGGGUGCCUCCCGCCCUUUGAUCGGGCGGGAAACGUGGGGUCGGGGACCUCCCGCCCACCCAUCAGGCGGGAGAUUCCAAAAAAAAUUUCCAGGGGCCUCUUCGUGAAUAAGAAAAGUUUCUUAUAGGCGAAGAGGUCCCUGAAGCAGGCGUCCCGCCCGGCCAGUGGGCGGGAGGCUUCCCGCCCGACCAGUGGGCGGAAGGUCCUCUGGUUAUGGUUUUUGUUAUAUUUUCUUAAAAUUUAUGUUUCACAAACUAUUUGAAAUUCAGACUUUUUUUCAAAUACAAGAUUUAUUCAGCAUACUCUUAUGUAUGCAUAUAAAAUUUUAAUUCAAUUUUACGAAGAAGAUUACGGUAUCUAAAACUCGUACGAAGAUGGUUAAACGAUAACAUUUUGCAAAGUAGAAUCCAAAUAUUACGAUAGUUGAUAUGAAGCCAUUAAAAAUAAAAUAAUAUGAUAACAAACAUUACAACAAAUAUUACAAAUACAUGAAUCAAAAUAUUCUAUCUUUAGUCAAUGCGGCAGAUAUUAGAAAUACACAUCCAGGUCUGAUACAAUCUCAACGCGGCAAAUAUUACACAUGAGCAAAAAACGUUCAAAUAAAAUUACAACUAAAUGAUGCCUGAUGACGUACUAGCACUCGAUCGGCGACGCCUCCCACUCCUUGAUGCAACCGGAGGUCUUCCAUCUGUAGCAUCACCUGUAGGGCCAGCUUCAGCAGAACUGGGGCCAGCAUCAUUGUUUGGACAACGUUUAUACGUGUGUCCAAUCUGAUUACAUGCACUGCAGCGCUGUAUCCUCGGACGGAGCUCGGACUCAUCCAUAUCAUUACGAAUACGCCGUGUCUGACGGCGCCCUCUCUUAACCCGUGAUGAUCUUGGGUCUGGAAUAUAUAUAACAGGAUUCGCUGUCUCAGUGAACGAUCCAACCAAACGGAACCCAUAGAUCUCAUACUGCCAGGUGCUGGCAAUUGUCUCCUUUCUGAAGUAAUGGGAAACAUAUAUAUCGACAGGAUGUCGAAUAUCCGCACAAGCAGCCAUUACAUGAGAACAAGGUAAGUGCAGCAACUUUGGUCUCAUGCAUGAGCAACAACAAGUUCCAUCAAACUUGAGAAUGCACUCCUUUACAGGAGUUUGACGUCUCAUGCCACGUCGCGCUCUGUCUUUAGGAGAUACCUCAAACUUGAGCUUCUGUGUACCACAUUGCCGUACGUGGUGUAGCCGGGCGCUAGCUGCCUUCUUAGUCAUAUAUUCUGUUAUCAUUUUCCUAAAAUAUCUGUCAGGAUCUUGCAUGAAUACCUGAUUUUAAGUGAACCGCUCCCUAAAGUAAUCGGUACACCCGCGGACGAUGAAUUCCACAAUUGCAACCAGUGGAAGCCCAUGAACACCUCACAGCACCCAAUUGUAAACCUCGGCGAAGUUGGUGGUCAUUAUGCUGUACCUUGCACCAUCGGUAUCGUAAAGUAACGCCCACUUCUCCUUGGGUUCAUUCUCAAUCUAUUCAGAAAAUGUUUUCACCGCUGACCCAGACCUUCUGCGAGUACGUGCAGUAUCUGUUGGCAAAGGACACAAAGCCUCUGCUUCAUCCUGUGCAGUUAUAUUUUUUGAUGCGUCCUCGGCUCUUUUCUUCCCGGUCAGUUCAUCAAGUUUCGGCCACUGCUUGUUAAAUUUUUGCUGAUUCAUUUCCUUGCAUAGCCUCUUGAACAUAUCCAUAAGGUGCUUGUUCUUGAAUUGCCUGAAAAAGUUUGCACCGAUAUAUCUCAUGCACCACCUAUUGCGAACAUCACGCCACUUUGGCGGCUCUCCGGUCUCCACAUACCCCUGCUGCAAAUCUAGUAUUGCCCUCAGUAUGCCGGCGUGACGAUCAUGAAUCAGGCAGACAUCUUCCCUAUCCCGAACGACUGCAAGCUUAACCCGUUCCAGGAACCAGUACCAACUGUCUGUGUUCUCACUCUCAACAAAAGCAAAAGCAACAGGAAGCAACUGAUUGUUUCCAUCCACUCCAAUAGCUGUCAGCAUUUGCAAUCUAUACUUUCCUGUGAGAAAGGUCCCAUCGAUGCAAAGGAGAGGCCGGCAGUGUUGGAAUGCGUUAAUGCAUGGACCCAAGCUGAAAAAGACCCGCUGCAGUAUGUACAGCGGACCUUCUCCUCUGUCUAGAAUUUUCAGAUCAUAAUAGCUUUCAGAAUUUCUCUGACAUAGGACGGCCAGCAAUCGAGGAACAUUAUCAUAUGCAGCCUCGAACGUACCAAACCUCAUCUCCAACACCUUUUGUUUUGCACUCCACGCCUUGCUGUACAAGAUGGUAUACUUGUACUUUUCCUGAAUAUACCGGAUAAUAGACUUUGGUUCAUAUGACAUGUUCUCUACUAUCAUCCCGUACAUCUCAUUUGCGAUGUAAGGUUUCGAUGGGUCUUCUACACCCCCGGCAAAUGACAAGUGUGCCGAGUGACAAUUGAGCAUUCCCAAUAAUCUUUCCAUUUACCCUUAUAUGCAUGCACCCGCCACGGACAGCCCUCCUUCACACAUACCACAUCGUACUUACAAGAUUUGCACUCGACUGUUUUAAACUCUCGCAUAAGAGAGAGACCAACACUUAAAAGCUUCCUUCACCUCUUCAAUUGAGUGGUUGUUGUCGGUCAAAACCCGCCGGCGAGCAGUGACAGGCAACACGAGGAGCCGGGAGGCUUCCGGGACGGCUGGUGGGCCCCGGUCCCUCGGUCAACGGCCCAGUGAUCCGGCGCGCGCCCUGGCUGGAAGUCGCUAGGCGUGCCACCUGGUCCUACACCUGACCAGGAAGGUGUGACGUGUCAAACUCCUGCGUACACAGACACAUAUAAAGAUUAGUCCGAGCCGUGAUCGGCUCAUCACCUCCUCCCCGGUAUCGGCUAUAGAGAGCCGAUUGCAUCAAUACCGGAUCGGAUCCUUGGAACAUGCAACAUACGAACAUAUAUAUAUAUUUAAACAAGACUUGCUUCAUAAAUGUCAAUCUAAUCCAACCCACGACAACUAAGCCCUCAUUGCACAAUCGGAACAUCCUACACGUGAUUGAGCCUAACAAAUAUACGAAAGCAUCGGGAUAAACGAUCUAAACAGAGAUUAAAGAAACAACUGAAAAGCCGAUUCCUGAAGCAACCUCUAUUCAAGCGAUAAGCCGAUACAAAGUAUACUGCCAGAACAUUCAACUCGUUUGCAAGGCCUAAUCAUGCACAUAUCGAACCAAGCCUCUAAAUAAACAGAAACUAGCCAUAACAGAUCGGAUCUACUGAUAAACAUGAAACAAGAUAUAACCAUCGCAUCCGUGAACGAACAUGACGAUCAAGCACACGAGAGCAAUAAACAAAGCAUGAUUAAGAUGCAAAAGGAUAAAAUAACUCUUAUGCGUGCUAGGAUAACUAACGCUACUCGCCAUCUACAAGGCUUCAGAACGAGUAACGUAUAAACGAACGAGCAAGGAUAAUGCUACCCCGAUCACGCAAAACGUGACCAGGGUCGCAUGGCACUUACCCGAUGAAAAACCCUAGAAUAGGGGAGGCGAUACGCCGAGAGUUGUUGAUGAACGAUUCUGUCUUUCUUGUUUAUUCAUGAUACAUAUUUAUAGUCCGUAGACUUAUCCUUUUUAACUAACCCUAACCUAACACGACAUGAAUCUUAACUGCUUAUUCCUAAUUUACACGGCCUUUCUAGCCUCAAUCAUCCGCACAGGGCUCGAUUCGCAAGCUUAUCGUGACUGUCUUUUAGGCCCAUCUUGCUCCAUGGCCCACUUCUGGCCCGGUUAAAUUAUGGUGAUAACACAUGCCCCCCUGGUUUCGGCAAUAAUAAUUCCGAAAUCACCUUAUUUUAACACCGCCUCGACCCUUCGGCUUCCGAUCCGUACAGCCAUGCCCUUUCGACUUCCGAUGGAUGUGACUGCUCUGCGCCAGUUUCCUAGGGAACCGUUAUGGUGCCAAUUCACUUCACCCACUUGUUUGCUUUUAUAAACUUACUCCCGGCAUCUUCCUUAACCAUUUUCCCCUCACAACCAUCGUCAAUUACGCUUCUUCUCUUCUUUUGCUAUGGCCUCUUCUUCUUCUGCUUCCUCCAUUAUUUCUUAUGAAUCCGAAUCCUCCCGAGAACCAACUCCUCAAUAUGACCCGAUUACUGCUUACGAGGUCUGUGCCCCCCUGCAUUGGGAUGCAGAGGAAUGGGACUUCCGUUCCCAGUCAGAGGAUGACGAAUCCCUGACUGAUGGUUAAGACCUCGCGCUCCUCCUUGGAGCUGAGCUGGAGGAAGAUGAGGACGACGCAUCUUGGGGAGAAGACCUUUCCUCGUCGGAAGAAAGAGACGAUUCCUACUCCUCCGAGGAAGAUCCGAUGGCAGGUACCUUCCUUCUUGGCAGGUCAUCGGACGAAACCCUUGACGACACCGAAGAAGCCGAAGACGAUGACGACUUCGCCAGCGACAGCAGGGAUGACGACGACGACAGCAGCAAUGGCGAUAGUAGCGAUGCUAGCAUUGCUCCCCCUACCAAGCGCCGCAAGACCGCUGGUGUGUACUGGUGGUAGGCCGUAGUGUCCCCAUUAGGCUAUCUCAAGGAGUAGUUAAUCCUUCUUUUGUAUCUACUACCUUGCUGUGAAUAAAAUCUUCUUUUGUAUUCAUAGUUUUUCUUGUGCACAACAAUCUGCUCAAGAGCCAAUGGCAACGUAUCGGCCCUAGAAUGUACUGAUCCGGAUCUGAAGUAACCUUUCAAUUUACUUUACCCUCCACCAGUCCUCCAAACCGCCACAGAUUUCUGGAGAUCCUGGGAUCUAGGUUAAAUCCGAACUCCUUUUUGCCCGCAAACCCUAGCUGCGAGCUUCUCCUUUGAUCCUCGAGGCGCACAUUCGAUCUUGCACCACCAACCCUAGAUACAUUCUCCAAAAUCCCGAUUCAGGACUCUCGAUGGCGGAAUCUUCGAACGCCGCCGCCGCCGGCUUCGGUCUGAAGGUAAACUUCGACCCCCAUUAAAUUAAUGCAGCAUCCGUAAAAUUUACUGUGCGGUUGAGUGACCCUUUCUUCGGCAAUCUUGUUUUCUUGGGGUUUUUCAGGCUUCCGAUAUCUUUUUACCGCACCCUUCUUCCCCCAAUUCUUUCUGCCUCGGGCCUCGUUCCUUCGAAAAACCCAUAGAUCUGAUUUCAGCUGAAGCCAAUCGGAUCCCUUUCGUAAGUCACGACAUAGACCUAGAAUCUUGGUCGGAUAGCCUCCGCGCUUGGCCGAAUCCCCCUGAAGGCUGGAUAGUUUGGUACAACAGAGUAGCAGACACCUACCAGCCCUUAUGGGAAUCCAUCGGGAUAGCUGAUGCUCUGUCUUUGUCCCUUUCUUCUCUUGAAAAGGAUGAAAACCUUCUGAAGACCAUCGGCUACUUUUGGUCUGAUGCCUUGAAUUGCUUCCUUUUUGGGCAUGGUCCGAUGACCCCAAGACUGCUGGAUGUUAUGAUGAUCACUGGCCUGGAUAUAUCAUCAGCCUACCCUUCUGCUUACAGGCUCUCUGUAGUCCCCUUCAAACUAUCCUCCAAAGCAGAGUGUACUAACUGGAGUACAUACCUGAGCCAACACCAGAAAAGCAAGGGUCCUGUAUCGGAGAAGGAGCACACAGCUUUUCUCAAUCUGUGGCUUGAGCAUUUCCUCUUCUGUGGCCCUUCUCUUGCCCCAACCAAAAAUUACCUCUCUUUGGCUUACGAGCUGGCCAAAGGUAUCCCUGUUGGCCUUGGUAAACUAUUUCUUGGGGAACUUUACAAGUACCUUCAUUUGAUGACUUCUAGCUUACUUACACAGAAAAAACUUAGAACUGGUGGUCCGUGGUGGUUCAUCCAAUUGUGGGCUCACCUGUAUUUCCAAAGUUCCAUUCCCAAUUUCCCUUCCUUGGUUCGCAAUUCUUUUCUUGAUCCGACUGGGAGACGGAUUAGGUGCACCAGCUUUGGGCAAGCUCUUUACAGUCUCCCCGGCGGGAAAUUGAAUCCCCUAGAUGCUUCUCGUUGGUUCAGGGUUUUCUACAAAGGCUUAGAUAAUCCAAAUUUCCUCCCAUAUGCUGAUCCUAAACUCUUUGAGAAUCCGGUUAUGUUCCGGCUGGCCGAUCUUGCCUAUGACACCGACACCAGGCGCCUAUACUCCAUCAUGGUUCGGCCCUGCCUUCUUUCUGUUGGCAUGAGUACCUCUAAUCGGAUCAUCAAACCCGGUUAUGAGUUCUACCAGCCGGUCGUAGCAGCCCGGCAGCUGGGUCUUGGGCAAGUGCCUCCCCAUUUUCUUCUUCACUUCUUGACAUCAAACAGGGUGGAUCUCCCCGACGCUCUGACUACCCAGAGGUGUUACAGCCUGUUUACAGACCUCCCCUUAU